rnacentral:lncRNA from 1 species
GUUCAAGCAUCUUCAUCCAAGGGUAUGUAGUUGUUUCCAGUAAUUUCUUUGUGAAGUUGCAUUUCAGGGUAUUAUUGACUCUGUUUCAUCAGAUCAUGUUAGGGUUGCCAAUGUUAGAAGAUGUCAAUCCAGCUUCACGUUUUCCAUCCAGCGCCAUUGGUCACGAAGCUGCUUGUUACAGCCGUAUUUGGAGUGAGGUUUGUCACCCAUCCAUUAUUGAAAAUAGUAAAGCAACAUAUCCUUGUUACAUCGUUUCCCAAGUUUGCAAUAACAAUUGCCAAUUGUGGUUGUAUUGCCCGAUUCAAUGGUUACGUUUGAAGAAUUUCAUCCUUAUCAUCCGUGAUUCUCCAACAACCAGCGCUGAUGCCUCAAAUGUUUCUUGUAGGUUUUUGCGGCUGAUAUAUUUGCUUCAAAGUUUCAUGAGAGUUAUCUGAACCAGUAUGUUGGCAUGCAGUUCAGAAACAAGGUAAAGAAGUUGCUCGAUAGAGAGAGAAGUGUUGCCAAUUUUGAUUUAAUUUCUCCAUCUCCUCAUACUCGUUAAUCUCCCUCAAAAUCUCUUAAUUAAGAUCGAAGUAGUCUAAUCCCGUUUGGUUUAUUUCGUUAUUAUUGUCCUUGUAGGUACUGGCCCCAGGAGGGUCAAGGGAACCCAUUGAACUGUUAACUGGCUUUCUUGGGAGAGAACCAUCAAUUCAAGCUUUUAUCGACAGCAAAUCACAAUACCGAUUGUGAAUGCAGACGGAACUUUGCCUACCCUAUUCUCCGAUAAGGCAAGAUCAUCUUGCGGUUUUGGUUUCCGGUAACAUUAUUCAGUAUCACCUCUUGUGUUUUUCGUCAAUCUUCGCAGCGUUUGCAGCGGCAACGAGUUUUUCUGUUGAGGUUAGGGCUAGACUUGCGGUUGUAGGUUGCUUAAGUUUAGAGCAUUGCAAUUUUGGUCGCUCCAGAAAAGCCAGCAACUGUCGUUCUUGUAAUUAUUCGUCUCUCUUUAAUAUGGAAGACUUGUUACUUAAGCCACGACCCCUUCCUGUUCAUAACUAAAAACUUAUUUGCAUUCUAUUGCAUUCAAAUUAAUCAAUAAUUUAGUAUUUAGUAUUUUAAAAUGUGUUGAUACACAAAAUCAGUGAAGACUUUGGAACAACGUAAAGUGUCAAGUUUGUGACAUUCGUUCGGUUGCUCCGGUCACUUAGUGAUGAUGAUGUGUAAAGAGGUAGAGAUAGAGAAGCAAACACAUAAUGUACGUGGUUCGUCCCAAGUCCGACUACUUUCACGGAGCAGAAGAGUUCUCAUUAAUAGUGAAAGGUUUACACAAAUACAUAGGUUUAAACAUAAUUAUCAUUAGUGGGUUUUAAUGACUAGUUUAAGUACAAUAAUGACAUUAGAGAUUCAUUGUAGGAGAAUGAUCUUUUUUUAUAGUUAAGCAGAGUCUUUAGCUUUUGUCCGCGGUCGAUGUGAGACUCGAUGAGUUUUAUUAUGAUGUUGACAUGUGUCGCUCUAUGAUUGGCCUUCUGGUUGGAGGGAAACUCUUGUGCUUCAGUAGCGGUGCUUCAACAUGAACCCCUCAGUGGAUUCUUGAAGGUAUGAUGUUGACUGGUGUUUAGUAGUUUCGAGAUUGAUAAAGUAUGGUACAAACAAAAUGAAAAAAUUAUGGGCAUUAUUAGAAUUUAAUCACAACUUGCCAUGUCUGACUAUCCAGAAGAACACCUCGUGCUUGACGGUUGACUUGGUGUAGCACUGUGAGUUGAAGAUUGAAUAUUUCCUCCUACUCCCGGUCUAGGUGUCAGAACACGGGAAAAAUGCUGUAUGUCAUUAUACAAGUAAAGAAAAACUUGAAAAAAAAUAAUAAUUUGUAUAACAACAUAUGACUACCUUACAUUUCGGCACAUUGAAAAAUUACUUUCCUUUACUUAUACAUAUGUCAUACCGUUUCGUAUUCUUGACACGUUUGAAAAAACUCUUUCCGCCACUCUUUUUCUCUCUCUUGAGAUAGGUGAAGUAUAACUAUGUGACAAUUAUUUCUUGUUACUUUUUUCUUUUUCAUUAUAAAGAAUUCUAUGGUGUUGGGGAGACUAGUUCAUCAUGAAGUUGGACUUUGGACGGCUAAGAGUGGCUCGUUCUGACCCGCACAGCGAAAUUAGGAAGCAACAUCUCAUUCUUGGAUUAGGUUUCUAAGGUUAAAACAUAUACCAUCACUUAGUGCUACGAUUUUAUGCUAUUUUUUUUUAACUUGUAAAUGUUCGAUUCUCAUUAAAGAUGAAUUUGAAUCACAUUUUUAUUAGCUUAUUAUGAGGUCAAGUCUAUCAUCUCUCCUUAGUUUAUACACUAUCAAUUCUAAAAGAAUCAAAUCAACUACCACUUUUUAUUAUUAUUUUUUAUUUUUUUAUAAGUACAAUGAUAUAUAUAAAGGGAGAAGUAAAAAAUGGUGAAACAUUCAUAAUUCCAAAAUUGUCAUCUCCCAUUAAAUAUACAAAUAAAAUAGAAAUUCACAGAAAAAAAAACCCACUCCUGUAGCUAACUUUAUUUUUUUUAAAUAUAUUACUUUAUUUUUCUGUUUUUUGUUUUUUCAAAUGAAAAAUCAAAAGAGUCAAUUGCCACAUGAGUACUUGUGUGGCAAGAUGGCUAGUUUUAAAUUAAGAUAAAUCUAAUUUGAUAUCGAAUUUGAUAGACAUGAAAUUUAAAUCUAAAAUCUUUUAUUUAUAAGUGAAGAAAAAUACUAUCAGAUCAAUAAAUGAUUUGAUUUCUGGUAUCACUUAUUAGAUUAUGUACUUUUAAAAAAAACGACCCAAAACAAUAUCCUAAUUUCAGAAGAAAAAAAAAGAAAGAAAGAAAAAGACCCGGUACGGUAUGGAAUGGGUGCGUACUAAAUAUGCGGGCCCGUGUAUUUUGGUUUUGACUUGACUUUCCAAAGAAGCCCAGAAAGGAGUCGAAGAAAAGCCAGAGAGAGAGAGAGAGAGAGAGAGAGAGAGGCAAAGGUGAAUAUAAACUGAAUUAAUCAAAUCAGCAGUGGAAAAGUAAUGAUAAAACCUCAACAAUUAUUUAUUUGAUUUCUUCGGUCAACAAACUACAACGAGAAUGAAGGUGGAUAAUAACGAAGGCCGAGUCCCUCCCUUGGUAUACUCGUAAGUGUUGUCACCCAACCCUGAAAUUCUUCGUUCUUCUCAUCUGGGUAAUUGUUUAUUCUUCCUGUUUGCAUGUGCUUUUGCUUCUUUUUUUUUCCUUUAAAUUUGUAGCUAUUCAAUUUGUUUUUUGAGCAUUGGGAAAUAAUGUGGUGAUUGCACACUCUGAUUUUUGUGUUUUUCCUCUUUUGAUUUGGAUGAACAGGGCAGGGAGUUGGGAUUCGUGAAUUGAGUCUGGAAAAUUUCUGUUGAUUUUUUUUUUUAGUUUAGAGUGGAUUUUGGCAUCUGGGUUUUGGAUUUUUAGCUGAAAGUUUGAAUUUUUGUGGCGUGUUUUUGUUUUUCCUAACAAGGGCAGAAGGCUAAAGGGGAGUUUGUUUGUUGGGUGAUUGAGAUUGGGAAAAUAAGGGCUUGGUGUGAUCUUUUGUGUUAGAUAAGCGGGUCGGGUUUUAGUUUUCGGAUGAAAAGGGGGGUUCUUGGCCCCCUUUAGUGCAUUGUUUUCAGAAAUACAGGCAUAGAAUUAGCUUCUGGGUAGCCUAAGAUUAUAAUUGUUCACGAAAGCUGUGUGAUUCAGUCGGCCGGGAGUGGUUUUGCAAAAAGCUUUUGGAACCUUAGAUACCGGUGUGCUUUGAGAGGGUGGAGUUUUGUUUGUUUGUAUGAACUAUGUUGAGACAGAUACUUAAUAAGCUUCCCCGGAAGUCUUCUUCUAAGAAAGCUGAGAAUCGUGAUACAUUGUAUUCGAAUGCUCCCACCAAUUCAAGAAGCAGUGAUUUGGGGACCAGUAAGUCUGGGAAUUUGACUACAUCUUUCCCACCAGGAAAUUCUGUUCCAGACACGGUGAAAAGUUACAGCAACAAGAAUGUGAGGGGUGCAAAUUUGAAGCCGAAUGGUUUCGUGCUCUCUUCUUCUUAUGAAGCAUUGCCUGGAUUUAGAGAUGUUCCAAAUGCGGAGAAGCAAAGCUUAUUUAUUAAAAAGGUGAGUUUGUGCUGCGUUGUAUUUGACUUUACCGACCCAACAAAGCACCUGAAAGAAAAGGAGAUCAAGCGGCAGACACUAUUAGAGCUAGUGGAUUAUGUGACUAAAGCAAACGGUAAAUUUUCAGAAGCUCUUAUGCAAGAGCUUGUAAAAAUGGUGUCUGCAAAUUUGUUUAGGGUGUUUACCCCACAGCCUCGUGAGAAUAAAGUUGCAGAUGGCUUUGAUUUGGAAGAGGAAGAACCUUCAAUGGAUCCUGCAUGGCCUCAUUUGCAAGUAGUGUACGAGUUAUUGUUAAGGUUUGUCGCAUCACCUGAGACAGAUGCAAAAUUAGCUAAACGAUAUAUUGAUCACUCGUUCAUUCUCAAGUUGCUGGAUCUUUUUGACUCUGAAGAUCCUAGAGAAAGAGAGUAUUUGAAAACAAUACUGCACCGAGUUUAUGGAAAAUUUAUGGUGCAUCGCCCAUUCAUUAGGAAGGCCAUCAACAACAUCUUUUAUCGUUUCAUCUUUGAGACUGAGAAGCAUAAUGGGAUUUCUGAACUCCUAGAAAUUUUGGGCAGUAUUAUAAAUGGAUUUGCUCUACCACUGAAAGAAGAGCAUAAAUUGUUCCUCGUUCGGGCUCUAAUUCCCCUGCAUAAGCCAAAAUGUUUAGCUAUGUACCAUCAACAGUUAUCUUACUGCAUUACGCAGUUUGUAGAGAAAGAUUGCAAGCUUGCUGAUACUGUCAUUAGGGGUUUACUGAAGUACUGGCCGAUCACUAAUAGUUCAAAGGAAGUAUUGUUCCUAAGUGAGUUGGAAGAAGUGUUGGAAGCAACUCAGCCAUCUGAAUUCCAGCGGUGCAUGGUUCCCCUCUUUCGCCAGAUUGCUAAUUGUUUGAACAGUUCUCACUUUCAGGUAGCGGGUUCUUUCUCUGCUUUGAGUUUUUCCUAUAAGCUGUUUAGUGCACCUUUUCUCUUUAUAACUUCUUUAGUCUGCCACAUGCAUGAUACUCAAGUUGUGCACUUAUUUUGUUCCAAGCAGGAAGACUUCUCUGCAUUGUUAUCUUUCUUGUCCAUGUUAAAUGUGAUACAUUUAAUUUUAAGUGUUUUGCUUGUGUAAAUUUUCUUCUCUUUCCAUCUCUGGCUGGUAAAUUUAGACACCUCAUUAAUCCAAAUUGUUCUGCAGCUAUAUCUUAGGUUCCCAUAUUGUAGGUGAUCAAUUUGUACUUGCCUUUCCGUGUAUGUUGUUUUUUAAUUGAGGGAUUUUUUUACUAUGUUUUUCUUUGUUAAUCGUCAAGUACUAAUUAAGCCAUCUAAACCUUGGAUCCUUUCCACUACUGUCUCUUCUCAAAAAAAAAAAAAAAAAAAAAACCCUGGAUCCUUUUUGUCAUCCAAAGAAAAACCCUUAAUUUUUUUCUAGUUGGAUUUCACUUUGUUAGCCCUUUGCUUUAUUGUCAUUUUAAUAUUAGGACUUUUGUCAAGAAGAUUCAUGUUUGUUGAGUUCUCUUCAAUAAUUUCAUGUUUGGAGGAGAAUGCAUGAAUACUUUCUCAGGUCUAACAAGUGGCGUUUGAAGGUGAGGACGCAAUUUUGGUGGUCCACCUCAGAGGAGUAGAUAAAGAUUGAAAUAAGCUAACAUAAAAUAAUGAAGUAAAAUUCCAUGCUCAGCGAACUUCAUGACCGAUAGUCCAUGGGUUUGCAUGUAUUGGAGAUUCUAAUUAGGCCUGUACAAAAUUAGGAAGAAAUAGAAUAUCACAAGAGUUAAAGCUCAAUCUUGGUAGUCUCUUCGAUUUCUGAGAUCGGCCCUCGUGGUCUCUGAGCAGCCCAGCUUUUGAGAAAGCAAGCGCCUCUUCGAUUUCUGAGAUCGGCCUUCGUGGUCUUUAAGCAGCCCAACUUUUGAGAAAGCAAACGUCUCGUGGUCUCUGAGCAGCCCAGCUUUUGAGAAAGCAAACGCCUCUUCGAUUUCUGAAGCUCCGUCGAGUGCAGAUUUUUAUCGAGGCUGGCAUUAAGUUCCAAAGCACACUUGAAUCUCCACCAGUAGAAGCUCCAUUCUUGCACUUCUAAGAUCUUGAUUUGUCCGACCUCUUCUCUCUUCAACACCUUUGAAAAUGUCUGGCCCCUCCGACCGUCGUUUUGACUUGAACCUUGUUGAAGAGGCAGCCACGCCUUCUCCAGACAACAUAUGGCGCCCAUCCUUCGUCUCCCCUACUGGUCCUCUUACUGUUGGGGAUUCCGUGAUGAAGAAUCAUAUGACCGCUGCGGUAGUGGCCAGGAACCUUCUCACUCCCAAAGAUAACAGACUACUUUCCAAACGGUCUGAUGAGUUGGCUGUUAAGGAUUCUCUGGCUCUCAGUGUUCAGUGUGCAGGUUCUGUGUCUAACAUGGCCCAACGCCUAUUUGCUCGAACCCGCCAAUUUGAAUCAUUGGCGGCUGAAGUGAUGAGUCUCAAACAGGAGAUUAGAGGGCUCAAGCAUGAGAAUAAACAGUUGCACCGGCUCGCACAUAACUAUGCUACAAACAUGAAGAGGAAGCUUGACCAGAUGAAGGAAUCUGAUGGUCAGGUUUUACUUGAUCAUCAGAGAUUUGUGGGUUUGUUCCAAAGGCAUUUAUUGCCUUCGUCUUCUGGGGCUGUACCGCGUAAUGAAGCUCCAAAUGAUCAACCUCUGCUGCCUCCUCCUUCUAGGGUUCUGUCCAGUACUGAGGCUCCAAAUGAUCCCCCUCCAGUGCCUGCUCUUUCUGGGGCUCUACCGACUGCUGAGACUUCUCCUAAGCAACCUUUGUGAAGGCUCCCUCUUGUUUGUUUAUUUUGACUCAUGUAUAUGUACAUAUUUGUGACUUAUCGGGGAUAUCAAUAAAUAGCUUUCCUUCAUUUCAACGUAUUGUGUUGAAUACACCAAAGCCUUCUUCGCUAAGUUCUCUGAAUUUUCUUUUGUUGAAGCUUGUAUGUUGAAGCUUUGUGAGUGGAGCAUGUAGGUUGGGGUAGUAUUCCCUUAAUUUCCCGAGUGAGGAAAACUUCUCGGUUGGAGACUUAGAAAAUCCAAGUCACUGAGUGGGAUCGGCUAUAUGAAUCUUUGAACGCCAUUGUGCUCGGUCCUGUGUCAUGUCCUCCGUUAGAUCCAAGUACUCUAAGUCUUUUCUUAGAGUCUCUUCCAAAGUUUUCCUAGGUCUUCCUCUACCCUUUCGGCCCUGAACCUCUGUCCCAUAGUCGCAUCUUCUAAUCGGAGCGUCAGUAGGCCUUCUUUGCACAUGUCCAAACCACCGUAACCGAUUUUCUCUCAUCUUUCCUUCAAUUUCGGCUACUCCUACUUUACCCCGGAUAUCCUCAUUCCUAAUCUUAUCCUUUCUUGUGUGCCCACACAUCCAACGAAGCAUCCUCAUCUCCGCUACACCCAUUUUGUGUACGUGUUGAUGCUUCACCGCCCAACAUUCUGUGCCAUACAACAUCGCCGGCCUUAUUGCCGUCCUAUAAAAUUUUCCCUUGAGCUUCAGUGGCAUACGGCAGUCACACAACACGCCGGAUGCACUCUUCCACUUCAUCCAUCCAGCUUGUAUUCUAUGGUUGAGAUCUCCAUCUAAUUCUCCGUUCUUUUGUAAGAUAGAUCCUAGGUAACGAAAACGAUCGCUCUUUGGUAUUUCUUGAUCUCCGAUCCUCACCCCUAACUCGUUUUGGCCUCCAUUUGCACUGAACUUGCACUCCAUAUAUUCUGUCUUUGAUCGGCUUAGGCGAAGACCUUUAGAUUCCAACACUUCUCUCCAAAGGUUAAGCUUUGCAUUUACCCUUUCCUGAGUUUCAUCUAUCAACACUAUAUCGUCUGCGAAAAGCAUACACCAAGGAAUAUCAUCUUGAAUAUGUCCUGUUAACUCAUCCAUUACCAACGCAAAAAGGUAAGGACUUAAGGAUGAGCCUUGAUGUAAUCCUACAGUUAUGGGAAAGCUUUCGGUUUGUCCUUCAUGAGUUCUUACGGCAGUCUUUGCUCCUUCAUACAUAUCCUUUAUAGCUUGGAUAUAUGCUACUCGUACUCCUUUCUUCUCUAAAAUCCUCCAAAGAAUGUCUCUUGGGACCCUAUCAUACGCUUUUUCCAAAAUCUAUAAAGACCAUGUGUAAAUCCUUUUUCCCAUCUCUAUAUCUUUCCAUCAAUCUUCGUAAGAGAUAGAUUGCCUCCAUGGUUGAGCGCCCUGGCAUGAACCCGAAUUGGUUGUCCGAAACCCGUGUCUCUUGCCUCAAUCUAUGCUCAAUGACUCUCUCCCAGAGCUUCAUUGUAUGACUCAUUAGCUUAAUACCCCUAUAGUUCAUGCAAUUUUGUACGUCGCCCUUAUUCUUGUAUAUAGGCACCAAAGUGCUCGUUCGCCACUCAUUUGGCAUCUUCUUCGUUUUCAAAAUCCUAUUGAAAAGGUCAGUGAGCCAUGUUAUACCUGUCUCUCCCAAAACUUUCCACACUUCGAUUGGUAUAUCGUCUGGGCCUACUGCUUUGCUAUGCUUCAUCUUCUUCAAAGCUACAACCACUUCUUCCUUCCGGAUUCGACGAUAAAAAGAGUAGUUUCUACACUCUUCUGAGUUACUCAACUCCCCUAAAGAAGCACUCCUUUCAUGUCCUUCAUUGAAAAGAUUAUGAAAAUAACCUCUCCAUCUAUCUUUAACCGCGUUCUCUGUAGCAAGAACCUUUCCAUCCUCAUCCUUGAUGCACCUCACUUGGUUUAGGUCCCUUGUCUUCUUUUCCCUUGCUCUAGCUAGUUUAUAGAUAUCCAACUCUCCUUCUUUGGUAUCUAGUCGCUUAUACAUAUCGUCAUAAGCCGCUAACUUAGCUUCUCUCACAGCUUUCUUCGCCUCUUGCUUCGCUUUUCUAUACCUUUCACCAUUUUCAUCGGUCCUAACCUUGUAUAAGGCUUUACAACAUUCCUUCUUAGCCUUCACCUUUGUUUGUACCUCCUCAUUCCACCACCAAGAUUCCUUUUGGUGUGGGGCAAAGCCCUUGGACUCUCCUAACACCUCUUUUGCUACUUUUCAGAUACAACUAGCCAUGGAAUCCCACAUUUGGCUAGCUUCCCCCUCUCUAUCCCACACACAUUGGGUGAUUACUUUCUCUUUGAAAAUGACUUGUUUUUCUUCUUUUAGAUUCCACCAUCUAGUCCUUGGGCACUUCCAAGUCUUGUUCUUUUUUCUCACUCUUUUGAUAUGUACAUCCAUCACCAACAAGCGAUGUUGAUUAGCCACGCUCUCUCCUGGUAUAACUUUGCAAUCCUUACAAGUUAUACGAUCCCCUUUCCUCAAACAACAACAACAACAACAAAGCCUUUUCCCACUAAGUGGGGUCGGCUAUAUGAAUCCUAGAACGCCAUUGCGCUCGGUUUUGUGUCAUGUCCUCCGUUAGAUCCAAGUACUCUAAGUCUUUUCUUAGAGUCUCUUCCAAAGUUUUCCUAGGUCUUCCUCUACCCCUUCGGCCCUGAACCUCUGUCCCGUAGUCACAUCUUCGAACCGGAGCGUCAGUCGGCCUUCUUUGCACAUGUCCAAAUCACCGGAGCCGAUUUUCUCUCAUUUUUCCUACAAUUUCGGCUACUCCUACUUUACCUCGGAUAUCCUCAUUCCCAAUCUUAUCCUUUCUCGUGUGCCCACACAUCCCAGAAAGCAUCCUCAUCUCUGCUACACCCAUUUUGUGUACGUGUUGAUGCUUCACCGCCCAACAUUCUGUGCCAUACAACAUCGCUGGCCUUAUUGCCGUCCUAUAAAAUUUUCCCUUGAGCUUCAGUGGCCUACGACGGUCACACAACACGCCGGAUGCACUCUUACACUUCAUCCAUCCAGCUCGUAUUCUAUGGUUGAGAUCUCCAUCUAAUUCUCCGUUCUCUUGCAAGAUAGAUCCUAGGUAGCGAAAACGGUCGCUUUUUGUGAUCUUCGCUAGAUUGCUCCGGUCAUUAGUGUAGAUAAGUAUAUAAAUGGAUAGAGAUAGGAAAGCAAACACAAGAUGUAUGUGGUUCACCCAGAUUGGCUACGUCCACGGAAUAGAAGAGUUCUCAUUAAUUGUGAAGGGUUUACACAAGUACAUAGGUUCAAGCUCUCCUUUAGUGAGUACAAGUGAAUGAUUUAGUACAAAUGACAUUAGGAAAUAUUGUGGGAGAAUGAUCUCGUAAUCACGAAACUUCUAAGUAUCGGAGUGUGGUGUCGUCUUGACUUGCCUUAUCUGUCUCAUAGGUAGAUGUGGCAUCUUCUCUGGAAGUACUUUUCCUCCAUCUAGGGGUGGUAUCUUUAACUGGUGGAGAUGCACAAGGUAAUGUAUCAAUUUCACUUGAAGCUUACUUGUAGUUUCAGGCUUGGUCAAGCGCGAUACAAACCAUGUAGUAGGAGUCCCCCAAGUCGCCGAGCUAGGGGGUCUGCUGAAAGAGGUGACAGACAAGGUAAGCAAUCAGAGCUCCGACUGAUUGUUCACCUUCUCCCCAUCUUGCAAUAGCAUAAAGGAUAAAGAGAAGAAAAAUGAGAAGAGAUGAUAUGAGAUACUUUUGCUUUUGAAGAAGUAACUUUCCACAGGCUUAUUCUUGAACUGAGCUGGAGGGUUUUAUGGUUUCCUCCAGAGUAUAAGGCCGACUGAAGAAUUUGAGGGUCAAAACAAGUCCAUCAAAUCUAGAGUACGUUCCACCCUGCUGAUAUGGGAUACUUUUGCUUUUGACAGAGUAAUGGAUGUAUCGGCACGUGUGCUGUUACGCUUGUCUCCACAUGCUUCCUUGUAUCCUUCGCACUUGCCCUAUCUGUUCCUCAAGCAGGUGCGGAAUCUUCCCUGGAAACAUAAGCUGUUGAAGAUGAGUACUCGAGAGCAAUGCCAGGUAAGUAAUCAGGUAAGGGGUUCCAGGCAGUCAGUUCCUGGCUGGAAGCUUGAUUCCAAGUGCUGACUGAUUGCUCUCUUUCACCUUGUCUUGCAGGUAAAAACAAGGCCAAAGGAAAAGACAGGAAAAAAGCAUGAUAUGGGAUACUCUUGCUUUUAACCCUGAUGAUAUGAGAUAUUCUUGCUCUAGUAUAGCUUGUUUGUAGAGGUAUUAUCGGGGGGAAAGAAAGCUGAAUAUUUCGAAAGGCUUCGUUGGGAGUGCCCUCUCAGAUAUGAUGAAGGGUUGAGCAUUUUUGCAGGUCUGCCUGUCCUUUGGGGAUGGAGGUCGACAUAUAUAGGAGUCUCCCUAACAACAAGUAGUAAUGCUAUUCCUUUACCCUGCUUGGUCAUAGCACGAUAGUGGGAGCUGUCAGUUUCACAUGUUUUAACUCUGUCAGAGCACUUUGAAAAAGUGGUCUGUGGUAUCUGGGUCUCGAGAUUCGGAGAACAAUGCCUCUUCGAUUUUUGAGAAAGCAAUCAUGCUAGGGGUCUGGCUCUCGAGAUUCGGAGAGCAGUGUCUCUUCGAUUUUUUAGGAAGUAAUCAUGUUGGGAGUCUGGCUCUCGAGAUUCGGAGGGCGGUGCCUCUUCGAUUUUGGAGCAAGCAAUCUUGUUGAGAGUGUUGUCUCGAAUGUGAGUAAAGGUUGGGCAUGUUUGCUAGUCUACCUUGCCACGAAGCACAAAGGUUGACACACAGGGACUUUCCAAUUAUCCAGCAAUGGUACUGUUCCUUUACCCUCUCUUCGAUUUUGAGAAAGUAGUCAUGUUGGGAGUCUGGCUCUCGAGAUUCGGAGGACGGUGCCCUCUUCGAUUUUGGAGCAAGCAAUCUUGUUGGGAGUGUUUUCUCGAAUGUGAGUAAAGGUUGGGCAUGUUUGCUAGUCUACCUUGCCACGAAGCACAGAGGUUGACACACAGGGACUUUCCAAUUAUCCAGCAGUGGUACUGUUCCUUUACCCUUGUGGGUAAUAAUAUGGUAGCUAGACCUUCAAAAUUUAUGUGUCUAAACUUUGUUAGUGCUGUUUCUUUGCUAUUCUUUUACCUUUCUUGGUCAGAGCGAUGUAGUGGGAGCUGCAAGCUUCACGUGCUCAACUUUGGCAGAGAACUUUGGCAAAGUUAUCUGUGGUACCCAUGAGCUGUUGUUGCGUGUGGGAAGUGGGUAAUUGAACAGUAAGAUUCAUGUGCUUUCUACUUCACCAGAAGUCUUCAACAGAAUGCCCAUAAUUUCUGCAAAGCUGAGUGUGCGUGUGACAGGUGCUGACAAGGCUAGAAAAGUAGGUGCCUCUUCGAUUUCUGAGAUCGGCCCUCGUGGUCUCUGAGCAGCCCAGCUUUUGAGAAAGCGAGCGCCUCUUUGAUUGAUUCGGAGAACGAUGCCUCAUCGAUUUUUGAGAAAGCAAUCAUGCUGGGGGUCUGGCUCUCGAAGAUUCGGGGAGCAGUGUCUCUUCGAUUUUUGAGAAAGUAAUCAUGUUGGGAGUCUGGCUCUCGAGAUUCGGAGGGCGGUGCCUCUUCGAUUUUGGAGCAAGCAAUCUUGUUGGGAGUGUUUUCUCGAAUGUGAGUAAAGGUUGGGCAUGUUUGCUAGUCUACCUUGCCACGAAGCACAGAGGUUGACACACAGGGACUUUCCAAUUAUCCAGCAAUGGUACUGUUCCUUAGGUGAUCACAUGUUUUUCUCUCUUCUUAAAGAAGGUGUCUCCCUGCCCACGUGUCCAUUUAAAUCUCCUCCUAUAAAUAACUUCUCCGUCUGAGCAAUUCCUUGCACCAAGUCUCCAAGGUCUUCCCAAAAUUUCUCCUUCGAACUCAUAUCCAACCCUACUUGAGGUGCGUACGCACUAAUCACAUUGAUAAGUUCUUGUCCUAUUACAAUCUUGAUUGCCAUGAUUCUAUCUCCUACCCUCUUGACAUCUACAACAUCUUGUGUCAAGGUCUUGUCCACGAUGAUGCCAACACCGUUUCUCGUUCUAUUUGUGCCCGAGUACCAAAGUUUAAACCCUAAGUUUUCUAGAUCCUUUGCCUUAAGACCAACCCACUUAGUUUCUUGUAGGCACAUAAUAUUUAUCCUUCUCCUCACCAUAACUUCCACUACUUCCAUAGAUUUUCCCGUUAAGGUUCCUAUAUUCCACGUUCCUAAACGCAUUCUACUCUCCUGAACUCUACCCUUCUGUCCUAGCUUCUUCACCCUCCCCCGUCCAAUAGAAUCAAAGUACUUCUUUUGUGUGUCCCGUGUAAAGUUGAUAGGUGCAUAUGCUCCCAAACAACUUUGAGUGAAGUCGUUCGAAAAGAAGUUUCUAUGGCCCCCUUGCUCAUUUAACACUGCAUCCGGGUGCCUAUAGAGAUACAGCGACCCUUGCUCACUUAUCACUGUGCUCGGGCCACACAGCGCGCCACUUACGGGUGACGCCCUAGCUUUAGCGCGAUUUCGUUCUGAAUUCAUUUUCAUAAGGAUUCGACGUAACUGUGGAGUGCCGGCUAUCGACUACCUGACGCCCUCCCCCUCCUCCUUUACCCGGGCUUGGGACCGGCCAUGUAAGAUAAACUUACAUAGGCGGAGUUAGCUAACAUAAAAUAAUGAAGUAAAAUUCCAUGCUCAGCGAACUUCAUGACCGAUAGUCCAUGGGUUUGCAUGUAUUGGAGAUUCUAAUUAGGCCUGUACAAAAUUAGGAAGAAAUAGAAUAUCACAAGAGUUAAAGCUCAAUCUUGGUAGUUUCUCAUAGAUCCCAUGGGCCAAAGAAGUCGUCCUACAAUGCUUGAUUGAUUUCUGUAAGUGUUGGCUGUUGAGAGGAUCUAGAUAAUGUCCCAGGAAAUUUUGGUGCUUCUUGUUUUUCCAUCAACAAAAUUGGGUGUUUGUUGGAUGUUCCAUUUUGGUUACAUAGGAUUUUUAGACUUUAAAGGGAGGAGUCUCAGACGUUUGAAGAGCAUUUUGAAUCUCUUUGGAGUUCUGAUUUUCUGUUCCGCGAGUCAGUCAAGAACAUUAAAACUAGUAUUACAAUGCUCUUACUUAAAACGUAGUGUCACUGUCAAUUCCAUAUGGUAUAAAUCUUGAACUCAAACUCCCAACCAUUUCUUUGGGUAGUCGGCUUGAGGAUAUGAUUAUGUAUUAAGCAAAUUAUGACUCAUCAAUUAAAGAACUACUACAUGAAUUGGGAAAAUGUUUAACCAAGUAUUCAGCACGAAGUAGAGCUGAAGUAAACUUAAGGUUAUGCAUGUGAGUUCUCUUCGCAGUGGACGAGUAAAUGUGAAAUGAAUUCCCGAUUGUAUCUUCUCAGGAAGUUUUAUACUAGCCAAUCAUAUAGAACUUUGACAUUAGUCUCUCAGUAAUUAAUCCUACUUCUGUUUUAUGUCAUGUUUUCAUUGUGAGAAAAUAGCUUAUUCUCGUUGCAGCUUUUGAUUCUUGAAUCUGAUGCAAGCAAUCCUUGUUUUGUCAGGUGGCAGAGAGAGCUUUAUUUUUGUGGAACAACGAUCACAUUGAGAACUUAAUCAGACAGAAUCGUAAAGUUACUGCCUAUUAUCUUACCUGCAUUGGAGAAAAAUGCUAGAAAUCACUGGAAUCAGGCUGUCCAUAGCUUGACCCUAAAUGUCCGAAAAAUUUUCAACGAGCUUGAUCCUGAGCUUUUCAAGGAGUGCUUACUCCAGGUUCAGGAAGACGAGUCAAAGGAGGGCGAGGUUGCCGCACGGCGUGAAUCCACUUGGAAACGCUUGGAAGAAGUUGCUGCAAAGAAAGCUGCGAGCAACGAACCUGUGCUUGUUUUCGGCAAAGCACCUCCCAGCACUACCUCGCUUUAGCCGGAGCAAGAGACUUGCUGACAACACAAUGACAUCAAAUUCUGUUAAUCGAAAACGGGAUUUGUAGCACUGUGACGUGGUUCGGGUGGUUCGGGUGCUUGUUUUCAAAGAUCAUUGUGUAUGUUGUAGUUGUAGCUAGGAAAUGGUUCUGGCAGAUAACCCCGGUCCAAGAAAACAUUCUGCCUUAUUGAUUGUUUUGUUUAAAAGUUAAUUUUCUAGCUCCUCUUUCAUCCAUUUGACAUAACGGGCUCACUUAUUCUCCCAGGAGGAGAGUUCUUCAAGGCGGCCCCAUCACUCGACUGUGUGGCCGAAGACUCAUAGCCGAAAUACAAAGUGUGCUGAGAGAUGUUUUUACCUGUAUCUAAGAAUUUUUUGCCUCAUCAAAUAUAAAAUAAUAACCACCGCUAAUGUGUGAAAUAAGAACUCUUACGUGAGCGAAAACAAUGUUUUAAAAAAAUCACCCCAAGGUGCGCCCUAGGCGGCUUUGGAGGCUGGCUGGAAGGAAAAUCGCCUCUGUUUUGUGGGGAGUCAGCGAAAAACUCAUCUAGGUUUCGUCGGGGCACGUCUCAGGACGUUUGGGGGCGUCAUUUUUGUUUAAAAGUUGUCAAAAUCUGAAAAAUAAAAAUUUAGGUCAAGUUUCAAAACUUUUAGUUGCAGAACCUCAUGCUUCAAGGCUUCCGCCUAAGGUCUUUGUCGUUUGAGUAAGUUGUAGAAAUGAUCUCUUAAUUUUAAUCAAAUUUGAGCAAUGAUCCCUCAACUAAAAAUCAAUUACUAUUGGUCUCUCAACUUAUCAAAAUGUGUAGUUAUAGUCAUUUUUAUCAAUUUUGUCAAAAUAAGUUAUGUUGGAAUAACCAUUCAUAUAAUUAGGGUUUCUCAACUCAUCAAAGUGUGUAAUUAUGGUCAUUUUCGUCAACUACGUCGAAAUUUUUGUCAAAACGAUUUAUGUUGGAAGGACCAUUGCUACAAUUAGGUUAAAGUUAAUGGAUCAUUUCUUUAGUUGAAUUAAAGUUGAGGGACUAAUGAUAAUGAAUUUUUAGUUGAUGGACCAUAGCUGCACGUUUUGAUGAGUUGAGGGACCAAUAGUAAUUGAUUUUUAGUUGAUAAACUAUUACUCCAAUUAAAUUAAAAUUAAAGGAGCAUCGUUCUUGUUUUUUAAAACAUUGAGUGACAAUGAUCAUAAACUCCACUAAAGAUACUGUUCUUUUUUGGAAUCUCUAAAAACAAUAAAAAAAAGUUAGUCAAAUAACAAGGAACGAGGAUCCUCUGGAUCCUUUUGUGAGGAUCUCGGACAUCUUUAAAUUAUAUUUGUUCAUCAUAUAUUAUACAGUCAGUUAUCGUUAAUUACUAUUUAUAUUUAAUUUUAUAAAUGAUUUCUACCCAUAUAAUGCACGAUGAACUGAUACAAUUUAAGAAUAUAAAAAAAAUAAAAACACAAGGAGAGAUUCGUUCGAUGAGUUGGCUGUGAGUUGGCUGACUUUUCUUUCAUGUAGCUCUCACUCAGUCACUUGUGGUGGGAUUAAUGAUCACUUUUCUCGCUCUCACGAUGUGGUGACGCUUAUUUCUAUUGAAUGUGUCAAUCCAUAUCGCUCUCUCUCCCUCCCUCCAAGUCCAAGUUAGAGAGAGAGUUUUUGUUCGAGAGCUUUGGUUCCUUUACCAUUUUCUCUUUUCCCAACUUUUACUUUCUUUCAACACUCUCUCUCAAACGGUGGAUUUUAUGGGGACUGAAAUUGUUGAAUGUUCUCCUGGUCACCUUUUCUACUUCGUCUCUCUCUCUGUGACCCAAAAUUUAAUAGAAGAAAAGCUCUUUGCUUUCUUGCACUGCUUAGACUCCUGCUGAUUCUGUAAGUAUAAAAAUUUCAUCUUUUUACACUUGAGUUUGGUACCCUUUUACUUUUUUGCUCGCACCCUUUUAGAUUUUUUCUUUUAGGCAUCACUUUCCCUUGGAUUAUUUCAUUGUUAAUGAUAUCUGUGGAAUGCUAUCUCUGUGUUUCAGAUCGCACUCAGAUCGUGUCAGCUGCAGAGCUAACUGGGUUUAGCUGCUGAUUUGGUAAAUAUAUCUGUAUGUAUGUAGUCUUCAAGCUGUCCUUACCUGGAAGUAGAUUAAAGACAAGAGCUUUUCUUAAUUUGGGAACUUGUUAUUGGACUUUGGCUUAAAUCAGUUUCUGCUUCUGGGUUACUGAAUUUGACCUUAGAAGGUGUCAAAUUUUUCUACUUUACCGUUAGAGAUGUAGAGAAGUUGAAGAAUCACUAGAAUAUAAUGAUACAUGACAACAAGGGAACUUGCUUGCUUUGAUUAUUUGCUUCUGAGAGUGUAAGUUUAAUCUUCAUAUGGAAAUGGGUGUCUCUAUCUGGGUUUUCGAUUUCUUAUAGUGCCGAUUGUUGCUCAUUGAGUGUGUAUCUGGUUUGAUUCUUCUAUCUGAGGUAUCGAAUUUUCGGUUCAGUUCUGCUUUGAGGGUUUGACACGAUUUGUGGUUGGGGUCUUUUGUUUUUGAAGUCAUGAUCAAGAAUUUAAUUGGUAAGCUUCCUAGGAAGCCGUCUAAGUCAGCCGAGAAUCGUGAAUCUGGGGGUUCAUCUGCCGCUACAUUGAAUGCUUCCUCUAUAGGUUCAAGAAGCGGUGAUGUAGGGAAUAGGCCAAUUAAUUCAAAUAGCGUACCUCUUUCAGGCCUUGAUUCUGAUUCAAAUUUAGGAUAUGGCCAUGGAAGUAAGCUCCCUCAACUUGUCAACUCAAGUCUGAAUUCUGUUACCACUUCUUAUGAAGCGUUUCCAGCUUUUAGAGAUGUACCAAACUCCGAGAAGCAUCACUUGUUUGUGAAAAAGCUGAACUUAUGUUGUGUGGUGUUUGACUUCACUGACCCAACGAAAAAUCUGAGAGAAAAAGACAUCAAGCGGCAGACGUUGCUAGAGCUUGUAGAUUAUGUUACUUCUGCAAAUGGAAAGUUCAAUGAAAUCAUAGUGCAAGAAGUUGUAAAGGUGGUGACUGUGAAUUUGUUCAGGUCAUUCUCUCCACAGCCCCGUGAGAAUAAGGUUUUAGAAGGAUUUGAUGUGGAGGAGGAGGAGCCUUUGAUGGACCCUGCAUGGUCACACUUACAGAUUGUGUACGAACUUUUCUGAGGUUUGUUGCAUCGCCCGAGACAGAUGCAAAGGUCGCUAAGAAGUACAUUGAUCAGUCUUUUGUUCUCAAAUUAUUGGAUCUCUUUGAUUCUGAGGAUCCUAGGGAAAGGGAGUACUUAAAAACAAUUCUGCAUCGUGUCUAUGGAAAGUUUAUGGUGCAUCGCCCAUUCAUUAGGAAGGCGAUCAACAAUAUAUUUUUCCGAUUUAUUUUUGAAACAGAAAAGCACAAUGGGAUUGCUGAGCUUUUAGAGGUUUUGGGCAGUAUAAUCAAUGGAUUUGCUCUUCCGCUUAAAGAAGAACACAAACUUUUCCUAGUUCAGGCUCUGAUCCCCCUUCACAAACCAAGAUGCUUACAAAUGUACCAUCAGCAGUUGUCCUACUGCAUUUCACAGUUUGUCGAGAAAGAUUGCAAGCUUGCAGAUACUGUUAUAAGAGGGCUGUUAAAGUACUGGCCAAUCACAAAUAGUUCAAAGGAAGUCAUGUUCCUAAGUGAGCUCGAGGAAACUUUAGAAGCAACUCAGCCAGCAGAAUUUCAAACAUGUAUGGUACCACUCUUCCGCCAAAUAUCUCGUUGCUUGAGCAGUUCACAAUUUCAGGUAUUGAGCUGGGUCUUCAUUUAAUUUACUAUUUCUUUGUGCUCAUAAAUAUUUGGCCUGUUUGAAGAAACCCAUCUCUCUCUUCCCUUUGCGCUCCCAAAAGUUUUGCAUGUCACCUUUUAUUGAUUCUGAUAAGUAUUUUCUGCCAUUUGGUUUGUUUUUACUCUUGUUUAUAUCUUUGAUCAUUGUCAUUGUAUUUCCUUCCAUAUUCGACUUUAAGGGAAGUUCUUCUGAAAUAUUUACUUUCGACAAUGUUAUCGUUUUAGGGAGGUCAAGCUCACUUUCCAUGUAUAUCCUGACCAAGAACCUUGAGUUGACUGAUGUGUGCUUUUACAGGUGGCAGAGAGGGCCUUGUACUUGUGGAACAAUGACCACAUCGAGGACUUAAUCAGACAAAACCGUAAAGUCAUAUUGCCCAUUAUCUUUCCUGCUUUGGAGAAGAAUGGCCACAACCACUGGAACCAAGUGGCGCGGAGGUUGACGUUAAACAUCCGUAAAAUCUACUCUGACAUUGAUCCUGAGCUAUUUGAGGAGUGUUUGCUCAAAUUUCAAGAAGAUGAAGCAAAAGAGGAGGAGAUUAAAGCAAAACAUGUAGCCACCUGGAAGCACUUAGAAGAGAUUGCUGCUUCUAACGCUGUUAGCAGUGAAGCAGUUGUUGGCCGCUUGGACCCAACCCAGACAUCUCCAAGCUAAUGGUAGAGGGAUAUACUUAUGCAGUUAGAAGUUCUCAUAUUUCUGUUUUGCUGCUUUUUCUGAUCGUUGGGUGGGAGCAUUGCGUGGCCGUGUGCUGUGAAAGGUUGAACACUAUUUGAUAGUUGUCCAUAGCCUUUUCUGUUUUUCCCUCUAUUUCAGCUCGUCACCCCUAACGUUUAGAGAAACGUUCCACAGCAUUGAAGUUCAUGAUUCUGGGAUUUUCACAGAUACCAUUUGCACGAAACAACACAACAGGAGUUAGAAGCUGCAUUAUGUAUUCAGCACGGUGAACAUAGAGGUAUAGUUGAUAAGGGUUAACAUGAAAGAAGCUACAAAAUACAGGUAAUUUUAUUCAUUUGGAGUAGAUUUAAUUGGUUUGAAGUACUUAACUACUUAGUCUCGUUUCUGUAUGUGUAUAAUAUCUAUCCAUGGAUCUCAGAAAGAAUCUGUUUGCGUGUGCUUUUUUUUUAAUAUAUUGAUAUAUCUGAUUGGCUUUAGUUGUGAUGAAUGUUCUUAGGCCCUAACUCAUCAUUAAAAUGCAUUUACUGGACUUGUACUUUCGUCUACAUGUUCCUGAGCAAAUGAUGAUAAUUUACAAAUGUGUAAACUAUGAACAUCAACUAGUUGAACCAUAGGACUGGCUGGAAGACAUAAACCCAGUUACAUAGGCUUAAGAGCUUGGUGCCACAGAAACAAAUUCUAGGAGCUCGUGAUCACUUUCAAAUUUAGCCAUGUCUUCUUCGUCCAAGGUCACCCAUGCCUCUAUUCCGUCACCCGAGCUACUACUCAACAGUAUGACAACAUUCUUGAUGGGCACAUUACUAAUGCAUGCCCAGGUGGGUUUUCCCCAUCCAAAAUCAGUGUUGUAUAGGGAAAACCUAAUCCAACUGCUGAACCUGAAAAACUCAACCUCUCCUUCGGAGACCAAUUCACUCGUUUCUUUUAGAGGCUCACAAGCAUGUGAAAACCCGUCUUCACCUUGCAGUUUCCUCACACAAUCAUCAUCGAUCUUCCUUAUUACUUUUCUUAAUUGGACCACGAAGUCAUGCAACUCUGGUUUGCUUUCAUCUUUCAUUAUGGAUGCAACAGCAACCCGCCAGAUAUUACCAAAAGAAUGCUCUGGCAAAGGUGGAGCCAUUCGUUCCCUUAAAUACCCCACAUGGGAUAUCGCCAUUGAUGGCCUGCCCCUACCCAAUGUACCAAUCUUUGCGUUCAUGCUCGACUUGCAUAUAAGGGCUGUCAGAGCUUCCACACGAGUGGGAGCACGGCCGUCCGUGCACAAUCCCUUGGAUGCUUUGACUUUCAGCUUGGCCAAGCUGGAUGCAUCAAACACAAACCUCUUUGUCACGAACUUUUCUCUCUUGAUCAAAUUGGAUGGCAUGAAGAUUUGUUUGUCCCUAGGUGGAAAGAUGUUGGCUGAAUUUAGGGAGGGAGUGAUGUUUUCAAAAACACCGCGUGACCUUGUAGCCCAAGCAUCAAGGAACGAAGACAAUGUUGCACCAUCUGCGAUCUUGUGGGAAAGGCAGAUUACAAUGCCCAUGCCACCGCAGUCAAAGAAGUUCAAUUGAAUGGCCAUGGCUGCAACUGCCUUGUCCAUUCUAAUAUUGUAGGGAUCAAGUGGAAGAAGUUGUUGCACUAAAUCCAUUUCUGGAAUUUUUAGUAUCUCAGAGAGCUGAAUGUUAGCUCUAGCUCUUGCGAAGGCAACAGCUCCGUCUUCACAAUCCACGGAUGCAUUGCCCUCAAUCCUUCCGGCCAAAGGGUAGAAACCGGUCAAGGUUUCCGAUAAAGAGUUAUUCAGCUUAUCAACAAUGGUGGUAUCGUCAAUGUUUUCAGGAGCUGAGUAGAAAAGAAUGACUGGCACAUAAAACAUGGGAGCUAUCUGCUCUAGCAAAGAGAGUUUGUAGCUCUUAAGGUGGUCUGGAAUCGGAGAUGAUGGUUUGCAUUGAUCUUCAGAGACUAUCUCAAUCUUCAUCUGCAUUUUCACUUCUUUUUUUUUUCUGUUAAAAUUGCAGUUACGGAGAAAGAGAACUUUGAGAUGAAGAUUAAGAACUAAUUACAGCAAGAUAAACUGAUUACAGUUAAUCUGUUUUCAAAACACUAUUUAUAAGCAGCUAAUCUAUUGCUGAUAGCUACGCUUGCCAAACCUAACCAUUUCAAUUUUCAACCAACUCCUUGUUGAGCUUGGAGAGGAUUUGGAAACUUGUUUAAGCUACUAGAAAUUUGGAAGAUUUAGGGUUGGUUUGGUAUUGCUUCGCUUUGAAAAAAAAAAAGCUACUUCUACUGUGCUGUGAGAAUAAGCAGCUGUGAAAUAAAGCAGUAGGGUGUUUGGUAAACUUUUUUGUAAAAGUGCUUUUGAAAAGAAAAAAAAGCAGUAUUAUAGUGUUUGGUAAACUUUUAUGUAAAACAGAUGUGAAAAAAAACCGGUUUUUCAAGGCUGGGUUUUGCAGCUUUGUGUUUUAGUUUUUCACCCAAAACUGUGAAAAAAGCUGAAGUUGAAUGUUUACCAAACACAAAAAAACUCCCAGCUUUUUUUUAUACCCACUUUUUUCAAAAUCACCUCAGUACCAAACGAGGCCUUAACUGGUCAUCCAAUGGAUAUUUACACGUGGCGUUGAUUGAUCGAUUGCUUGGGAAGCAAGAACGUUGUAUCACCAUUGUGUGAUGCAUUAAAAUUUCUUGGUUAAUGUCAAUGUCACGCAUUAAAAUUUCUUGUUUAAUGUCAAAGUUACUGCUAGGUAGGUGAUUAAUGUCAAUGUCACGCAUUAAAAUUUCUUGUUUAAUGUUAAAAUUUCUUGGAUAUGCUCUUAAUAAACAUAGUGAAAGCCAAGAAUCAGAAUAAUUCCAAUAUAAACAUAGUGAAAGCCAAGAAUCAAAAUAAUUCUAAUAUAGAAAUGUUUGGUUUGAUGUGGUUUCGAGUUUGGUUUGGUCCCUUUUUGUGUAUAUUCUUUACAUAUGUUAACUGGAAAAAAAAAUCAUGGAAAGCUGGGCAUGCUUUGCUUUGGCAUGAUGAAAAAUGAAAGGGAACUUUAACAAAAAGUUUUCGGUACUGUUCAUUUUAACGAAAAACCACAUUUUUACACUAAAAAUUUUUUGAAUGGUCUGUUGCUCCUGAGUUGCUUGCAUUUCUUGAAGCGGCAUAUCUUCGUAACACCUGAAAGCAAAUGAAAUCUCUAGAGUAAAUAACAAGCAAAAAAAGCAAGUUGGCGGCGUGCAGGACAUGCUUGCCGCGGCAUAGAUGAUGUGACAUGCUCACAUAUUACGCACAUAAAACAACUUUCUUUUAAUUUUUUAUCAAGCCAAAGUGAUAAAUAUAAUUUGGUUGAAGAAGACAUACAUCUUGUGGUAGGCUAACGCUUGUGCCAGAUUCAUUAGAGUUGAACUUGUAAAGAGCCUUUUGUAAACACAUGGAGGGAGGGGCAUCUGCAGCGCAUCAAUAGAUAAAAAAAUGCUGAGAGAGAGAGGGAGGGAGGGAAUGCAGAGAGAGAGAGAGAGAGAUUUGACCUCGUUUUGCCCUCUUCGUCCCUUCUUAGACUGUCCAUCACCAGUAAAAAGCUCCUGUAGUGCCUCCACGGCUACAGAUCCACUAUUAUCCUGAUGCAUGCCUCCAAGAACAUUGUCUGAUAAGAGAGCAAUGGGGGAUAUAUCGGUUGCCCUCAAAAAUGGAAUAGGCACUGUAUUACCAGCUGCAUAUAUGGACCAAAGCUGCCAUGAACAUGAAAAUAAGCAAUUAUAUACUAGUGUUGAGCCUGUUGACAACCCGGUAUUUUUUUAGGAAGGGCUGGUAUUUAAGUCAAGGGGUUGGGAUAAUUUUAGAUUAGUGAUAAGAGAGGGAAUUAGGGAUGCCCCUUGAGGAGAAGAAAUGAGGAAGGCAUGUCCCACUGUGAUAGGGACCUAUCAACAGGCAAGCAUAGACCUCAGAGCGAAUAUUACCUUAUCUUGCAUUGCAAAAGCUUUCCGGCUGACAGCUUCAUUCUUCACUUUGCCACUGCUUAUACUGCUUGGACCUCCAACCUGGACUUGAGAUGUGCUUUUUGUCUUUAUGCUCUGCUCAGAUGCCUGUAGAGUGUGCGUAACUGGAAUGCCGUUUUUGGUAAUACUACUUGAAUUUUCCUCCCUGAUAGAGCAUCAUCGUAAAUGUUGGUAUCGUCAAUGGUGGUAUCGUCAACAAUGGUGGUUUCUGAUAAAGAGUUCUUCAACUUAUCAACAAUGGUGGUAUCGUCAAUGUUUUCAGGAGCUGAGUAGAAAAGAAUGACCGGCACAUAAAACAUGGGAGCUAUCUGAUCUAGCAAAGAGAGUUUGUAGCUCUUAAGGUUGUCUGGAAUCGGAGAUGAUGGUUUGCAUUGAUCUUCAGAGACUAUCUCAAUCUUCAUCUGCAUUUUCACUUUUUUUUUUUUUUUUCUGUUAAAAUUGCAGUUACGGAGAAAGAGAACUUUGAGAUGAAGAUUAAAAACUAAUUACAGCAGGAUAAACUGAUUACAGUUAAUCUGUUUUCAAAACACUCUAUUUAUAAGCAGCUAAUCUAUUGCUGAUAGCUACGCUUGCCAAACCUAACCAUUUCAAUUUUCAACCAACUCCUUGUUGAGCUUGGAGAGGAUUUGGAAACUUGUUUAAGCUACUAGAAAUCUGGAAGAUUUAGCUGGUCAUCCGACGGAUAUUUACAUGUGGCGUUGAUUGAUCGAUUGCUUGGGAAGCAAGAACGUUGUAUCGCCAUUGUGUGCUGCAUUAAAAUUUCUUGGUUAAUGUCAAUGCCACGCAUUAAAAUUUCUUGUUUAAUGUCAAAGUUACUGCUAGGUAGGUGAUUAAGUUUUAGACCAGGAGAGUUGCGAGGGUGAUAAAACUGUUGAUCAACCUAUGGAUUGCGAGAUUAGGGUUGAACAAGUUUUUUAACCCAGAAGAAUAUGGAAUUGGGUUUUCUUGGGUUGAAGAGUUAUUUGAAGUGACCAUGGCAGUUGUAGGGCUUGGGCUGGCUAGGAUGUGUUCCUUUCAUGUACACUCGUAUCGUGUUGGGCAAACAAGCCGCUGACGGGGGAUGACCCGUUUGAAAUGCUUUUAGGAGAAGAACUUCUACUUCUAAGCGCUUUUAUUAUAAACACUUUUUUAUUUGAAAUGCAAGUGCUUUUUGGACAAACACUUAAAUUGUUUUGAUAAUACCAAAACACUAGUAAGGUUUUUUUUCCACUAGAGCCGCUUUAAGUUUUUAUUUUAUUUUUAAAGCGCUUUAAGAUUGCAGGGGCUUGUAACUCAGUUGGGGUAGGAAUGUAGGAAGGUAGGAAUGUGGGUUUUUACACCAAUCUUAAUUAUUGAUGGCGGCGAAUUCCGAGUCAAACAAAUUCAUGGUUUAUAGGUAUCUCAUUAUGGAUUAUAGCGAGGGAGCUACGUGUGACCUUUUUUAGUAUUUUAUUUUUAGAAAGUAUAGGACAUUUUUUAAAUUUAAAGAUUCAUUUUACAACUUUGUUGUAGCACAAAAAAAAAUCAUACGUGGCACUUCAAAUUUAGUUUUGUAGACUCUUGGAUAUGCUCUUAAUAAACAUAGUGAAAGCCAAGAAUCAGAAUAAUUCCAAUAUAGAAAUGUUUGGUUUGAUGUGGUUUCGAGUUUGGUUUGGUCCCUUUUUGUGUAUAUUCUUUACAUAUGUUAACUGAAAAAAAAAAUCAUGGAAAGCUGGGCAUGCUUUGCUUUGGCAUGAUGAAAAAUGAAAGAGAAUUUUAACAAAAAAACCUCUGGUACUGUUCACUUUAACGAAAAACCACAUUUUUACACUAAAAAGUCAAUUAUGUUACUAUUCACUUUACCCUUUAUUUUAUCCUUAUCAUUAAAACUCUAAGCUUUCAAGCCUUUUUCAUUAGUUUUUCUAAAAUUUUAAAUGAUUCAAAUCUGAGAACUUGUUUCUGAGAGGAAGGAUGCAAGAAGUUUGGAUACAGGAGGACGGCCCUAACUAGCUGAGCCUAACCAACAAACUGCAUUCGCAUAAUACAAACUUAAAAAAACCAAAAAAAAAAAUAAAACAAAAAAAAAAAAAAAAGGGGCGGGAGAUUCUUUUAAGUAAUUAUUAAUCCAAUAAUUGAGAGGGAAACAAGUUAAGAAACAAGCUAGACUAGUUAAAUAAAUAGGCCCGAUUGGAUUAUUAGUCCCUGACAGGUGAUAAGAUAGUUGGAAGAUAGUCUAUGUGGUAAAAAACUUAGAAUUUAAGUUUUGUGAUGAAAUCUGUUAGGAUUUAUACCCAAAAUGAAAAUUCCGUUAACUUUCCGUUAAUUAUUAGCACGUGAGUCACACAUAUUAGGCUAACACAGAAUUUUCCGUUAAUUGUUAGCACGUGGGGAUUACAUGUGAAACUAACUUUAUAUUUUUAGUCUCACUAGUGAGCCUCAUGUGCUAAAAAUUAAUGGAGAGUUGACGAAAUUUUCAAUUUUGGGUCUAAAUCCUAACCGUCUUCAUCACAGAGGCUUAAAUCCUAAUCUUUUCAUCACAGGGGCCAUCUUCCAACUACCAUAUUCCCACGGUAACUAUUAAUCCAAUUAAACCAAAUAAAUACCAAGGCAAUUAGUAUGGACGAUCAGUUUUUGAUAUUUUGUUGCAGAAAAGAUCAAUGUCUAUUAUGUUAUUAUUAUAUCAUCCUUACGUGGUUGUUAUGUCAUUGUUGAGUUAUCAAUAUAUAAUUAAAUAUGUCAUCAUUACUAAAGCUGAUCAUUUCUGUAACCAAAUCUCAAAAGCUGAUCAUUCCUUCUAACUCCGUUAAAUAUCGUGUACAUUGAUAAGUACUCUUAAUCACUUGAACUAUAAAUACCUAGGCUAGUCCAAAAUAGACAAGAAAGUACUUUAAAAUAAACAAAUAUUUCCUAAUCACCACCUUAUUUUAGUUACCCGUUUUAGGUAGUCUUUAAUUUUGUCCUAAACGAUUAAGGUACCUUAUGUUUUCCUAGUCAAUUAGGGUACUUUUAUACUCACUAUUUAAAAACACUUGUGUGCGUGACUUGUUUUUGGGAUCCAUCUUUUUUAGUUGAUCAAACUCAAACAACAAUCGUUCUAAACGCAACGAAGAUCUAACUAGCUAGCUAAGCUUCUAAGCUUCAGAGAUAUCAUCAUCUAUGGCAAUGGCACCCAUCAUCACCGGCUGUCUCUCCAUUAUUUUUGGUCUGGACUCCUGCUUCUCCUUCUUUUUAACGGCUUUCCUCACCCACGAGACGUUAUCCACAUUCGACGAAAACCCCUUCCUAGAGUGCCCGUGGCCGUGGCCAGGCGAGAUUCCUCCUUCCGGUUUGGAUCAAUAUUAUUAGCGUUCCAUGCUUCCAGCUGCAAUUUUAAACUACGUACGUUCUGUAUUGCUGUACAAGAUAUUAUUAAUUAAUGUUGUUAAAUCAGCUUAAUUAGUGUCUUUAAUUUCUAUGUGUAUACCCAUUUUCUUCGUUUAUAAAUUUAAUGUAUUACGUAGAAUUAUGAACUUGUGUCGCAUAUUAUGCCUCAUGCAUAUUAUGUAAAAAAAAAAAAAAAAAUAGUUCAAAUCCACCUUGCUCAGACUCCCCGGUUAAUUAAACAUAAUAAUUAAGGAUUUUGCAUGCAGAAGAAAAGAAAAUUAAGAGCUAUAGCUUAUCAGUGUUUAUAACUAGUAACUACUAUGUACACCUUUAAUUAACAUCUCCCAACUUAAGCUUCACCAAACAAAAUAUGAUCAAAUCUAUCACCUUUCACUAUACACCAUCUGGUCUGACACAUAUACUUCAUAGGAAAGUAAUAUUUUCGUGUAUACGUACAUGGAAGGUAUAAAUCUAGGUACAGUAGCUAGAAGUUUGAUGUUGUUCAAGUUAGUAGAGUUCAUGUUUGCUUACCACCAACUGCUAUAAAUUAAAGAACAACAUGAACGACUAUUAACAUAUCAAACAUGCACACGACAAGGUGGCUAAAUAAUAACCGUACUUGUAUAUUAUUAGGCACCCAUAAUGUUGAAUUUUUUAGGUCGAUGGGUCGAAUGCCCCACUCCAACAACACCGAUACUGUCCCCAACGUGAUAAUUACCAAUUGUCCAAUCCAUCAGGUGUGGGGUUUUAUCACAAAAGACUUCGAUGUUAGUUAGAGUGGGGUAAUCCUAUUUAAAUAAAUUGCUUUUCUUCUUUCCCUCUAGCCGAUGUGGGAUUCAACACAUAGUACUUUAAAUCAGCUCAUCUUGGGGAAGAGAUCCUCUCCAUAUCUCUCCCACCAAAGCCACCAAGUCCACUCAUCCGGGCCCUUGAAAUUUGAUCCAACGAUUACAAACAGGGAGCCCCUUAAAAGUUAUAAUAAUUUUAGCCGUUGGAUCAAAUUUCAAGGGUCCAGAUUAGUGGCUUUGGUGGGAGAGAUCUCUCUUCCCCUCAUCUUGUACCACUAUAUUAGUGACUAUCGAUCUAUUUUCUUGAAGUAACCACUUUAAUGAUUUUUUUUUAUUGGAUGAAUUUAAUUUUAAGUUAUAUCAGUUUCAUCCAUCACUAGUACAUAACAGCAUAUUUACCACAUCAAUUCCAUCACGGGCAUCAACAGCUCGUGGUAGAAACUAUAGAAAACUUCAUUUUAAUCCUUGGCAAAAAUGAUUUUUUGAUUAAAACCAUGAGUAAGAUCAAAAUCUAAUUUUAGUCCCUUAAUACAUUAAUAGCCUCAUUUAUUAAUUAUAUUUUGAUUUUUAAUUAUUUAUCUUUUUCUUUCUAAUUUUUAAUGUAUUAAUUUUAUUUCAUUAUAAUUUUUAUUUUCAUUUCAUUCAUCGUAAUAUAUUUUGUUGUGAACAUUUAGAUAAACUAAUUUUUGUUAUACAAUAUAUUUCGAUGUACUUUAUCUUCUUCAUUUAGGUAUAUUAAAUUCAUUAUAAUACAUUUCGGUGCAUACAUUUAGGUACACACAUUUCGGUACCUACAUUUCGAUACAAACAUUUAGGUACAUUAAUUCAAUAUAAUACAUUUUCGGUACUAACAUUUCGGUGCAUACAUUUCGGUACACACAUUUAGGUACAUUAAUUUAAUAUUAAAACAUUUCGUUGCAUAUAUUUAUGUACAUACAUUUUGGUACUAACAUUUAGGUACAUUAAUUGAGUCUUUUAAAUUUGAAGAAUGUUAAAUAAAAUUAAUAAAUUAAAAAACUCUUUUUUGGUCAAAAAAUAAAUUAAAAUUUGUGUAUUAAUAAAUUUAAAUAUUUAAUGGGAGACAUUAAAUAAAAUGCACAUUAAUUAUUUUGAAUUAAGGACACAUUAGGGACUGAAAUCAAUAUUUAAUCUAACACCAGUUUUUUUUUAAAUUUUAAUCUUCUUGAAGGAUUAAAGUUCAAAAACCCCUAGAAACUAUUCAAUUACCACGGUUAAAUGUAGCUCGUGGUAGAUAACAUUAAUUCACCACGGUCAAAUUCUGGUCCGUUGUUAAAAGUAAAUAAUCUACAACGGUUUUUAAUCCCGUGAUGAAAUAUCAAAACCACCACGCGAUAUGCUCGUUGUGGUUACUUCAAACUACCACACAGCCUUUUGAAAAUUCACCACGCCAUCGGCCCGUGGUGGAUUUUUUUUUUUUAUAAAUAUUUUGAAGGAUAUUAAAAUAUAAAAUCCCAAUUAUUUCCCCUCCCGUGAAACUGUGAAACUGGACGAAAACCCUAAAAAGAAAACGUCAAUCCUUCUGUUUCUCCAUCUCUUCCGUCUCCGCCGGCUGGUCUCAGAUCAAUAUUCUGAUUUUUCUGAAACGAUGACAUUUAUCAACUGAGGUUAUGAAGGCUUUACAUAUUCCUAGAGGAGUACGUCGUGUGCUUUUACGAACAUCAAAUACUGACAGGUAAUAUAUUCGUUGUAUUUUUGUUUUUUUUUACUCUCGUGUGUGAAUCCACAUCGGGGGAAGUAUAAUGUUUAUAUUCUAUAUCUUUUCCAAUGUACUGCUGACUCCAAUUUACAGUGCACAGUUUGUAUUCUGUAUUUUUAUUUUCUUUGGUCGUCUCUCCAGUCAUCUCUCCCUCAAUCCGUGGCAACCUCUCUACAUCACUCAGGUUUCUUUUAUCCUAUAUCUUUUGAUUUCGUUUUCUUGUUAUGAAUAAGCAUUUAAAUUAUCAUUGAUCAUCGAACUUGGAGAUGUGUAUGCAUUCUUGUGGCUUACAGCUUGCAAAUUUAUCUUCCAGCAUUUCGCUCUCACACAUCCAUCCAAAGGCACACACUUUUCACAUCAUCAUCGUAAAUAUAUAAUUUUGAGUUGAGAAGUAUAUUUUUACUAUUUUGUUCUUCCAAUUCAAUAAAAAAAUUGUAUUUCACGCCCCAAAAUCAACCCCAUGUUACGAGGAUUGUGUCAUGGAGCACACUUGCUUGAAAUUAGGUUCCCUAACUGCAUGUUUUUACUGUUUUGUUCUUCCAAUUCAAUAAAAAGUUUGGAUGUUGCAGCUACUGCUGUAUAUACAUAUAUAUAACAACAACAUUCAAACUAGUAAAGAGAAGAAUGAACUUCUAUAUAUAUUAUCAAUGUAGUAAUGAAUAAAUAGAGAAUAAAUGUAUACAAUUAAUCUGUUCAGACCAAAAACAAUGUACAAUCUUUAAAGGCCAAACUGUAUCAUCAAAGUUGAUCAACCUCUUCUUCCUUAAGUUUUGGUGUAAUAUUGGAAAUUAGGUGUGUAUAGUGCAGUAGUAAUCAAAGUAAGAAGGGGUGCCCUUAAUAUACAUAUAUACACGCGCAUAUAUAUAUAUAUAUAUAUAUAUAUAUAUAUAUAUGUAUGUAUGUAUGUAUACAGCACGAACCAGUUAUAUAUAAGGAAAAAAUAUAUGCAGUAGUAAUACUUCGAUCAAUUGAAACUGCAAAUUCGACUAUACUAGUGUAAAUGUUGUAAAGAAAAUGCUUGUUCACUUUUUUUAUAUAAUAUUUUCCUGCUAAUUCACAGCAAAUGAUCUCUUUGCUAAUUCACAGAAAAUGCUUGUUGACUUCUUUUUUUAUAUAAGAUUGAUUGCUAAGAAGAUGGUUUCUAUGUGUCUUGUUUGUAUGAAUCGUAUGUACUAGCAAAUGGUUUCGUGUAUGUAUUAAUUUGAUAUUUGUAAUUUAAGUUUUGAUACAAGUUAUACUUGAAUAAAUAUAUAUAAUAUGUGUGUAUGUGUGUGUGUGUGUAUAUAUAUACAUAUCAUAUUUUAGUAUAUUUUGCCAUUAAGUUGUGAGUUGUGGUUAUUUUAGGAUUACUUUUGAGAAGCAUUGUUGGAAACGAUCAUUGUCAACUAUCUGAUUGCAAUGGACAAAGAUUGGCUAACAUUUUCGAGGUAUAUUAUCUGCCUCAAUGAAUUUCAUUUUUGACAUUGAUAACUAGGGUCUGUUUAAAGUGAUUAAGAUUUAUUUAUAAUACAGACCAUCAACAGAAUACAGAGAGGGUGCACAAAAGUUUGUACAAGUAGCUAAAGAAUAUGGAGGAAAUCGAGAUAAGAUCAUUUGCCCGUGUAUAAUAUGUCAAAACCAAUGUUUUCAACUACCUACGAUUGUGUAUGAACACUUGAUUAUGAAUGGAAUAGAUCCUUCAUAUACUACUUGGGUGUUCCAUGGUGAACAAGAACCUAUUCUUCAACAACAUGACUAUGCCAACGUGACAGAAACAUAUCAGAUGUAUAGGGAUGUCUUGGCUGAAGAUGAUGGAACCGGAAAAGCAAAUUUGCUAAUUGGAGAUGAGAAUUUCAAACAAAAGGUUGAAGAAGCUGAAGCUCCUUUAUAUGAAGGUUGUACGAAGUACACAAAGUUGUCAGCAACUGUAGUUUUAUUCAUUUUUCUUUUAAUCUUGUAAAUGAUUUUUAAAUGUAUAGGAUGACAUUAAGUUGGCUAAUGAAAUGCCAACAACAGACAAUGGUUCUAUAAAAGAGGAUGCCUUAUCACAAGCACUUGGACCUGAACAUCGAGGUCGACUUCGAGGAGGUGGUUACGGGGUUACACCUUCUAGAUACAAUGCCCAAACAUAUGCCAGCAUGAGUAAUCGAGAGCUUAGAGACCGACUACAAAAUGUCGAAGGAAAAUUGCGGGAAGUGUUUGAUCUUGUGUUGGCUAAACAACAAAAUGAGGUAAUUAUAUAUGCAACUUUGUAUAUACUUAUAAAAAUGAUAAAAGAUUUACGGCAUAUCACUGCAGGGAAAUAUAUUCUAACUUCUAAUCAUAUCGCUGCAGGGAAAUGGUAAAGAAACUAAUACCAAUGAUGCAAUUCAAGUCUCCACAAAUAGGCCUCAGGUAAAAAUGUGUCAUUAGUAAAUAUAGGUAUUUUGUUGAAUCUGAAACUGAUCAACUUCUAUUUCUUACGUAUUCACUAGUCACAGGGAGGCAGUAUAGAUCUCCAAAGAACUAAGAAUGGUGUAAAACAGGUUACCAAUUCCAGUUACCAGGUUUCCAGAUCAUCUCCCUAGGUAUGAAACUGAUUUUGUUUAAGUUGUCUCGAUGUCUUCAUCAUUAGAUAGAAGGAAAAUAGUGAACGUGUUCUUAGGAAAACUGAUAUUUUCUAUAAGAUGUAUGUGUGUGGCUCUGUAAGAUAUAUGUGUAUGGUUGUUUUUUUCUUCAAAUCAGAAUUAAAUGAAAACGAAAAACUUCUCACCAUAAAGUCUCUAGCAUGUAUUGUUCCCAUCUCCACCAACUGACCAUUCUCUAAUCCCAGUUGUUUCACUAUGUAUUCUUUUGCUCAGCCAAUUUCCAUCUUUGUGGCUCCAUUGGCGGCAGAGCAAAUUUCGUUUUUGUUAUUAGAUAUUAGAUUUUUUUUGUUUUGUGAGGUCAUUCCUGUGUACAAAUAUACUAAGACAUAGCAGAUGUUGAUAAUUAGAUUGUUUUUGUUUUGUUAUUAGAUACAAUGUGAUAGAAGAAGUGCACGAGAAGUUGACGAUGCUUCUAGACAAGCUUCCAAAGCUAGUUCCCAGGUAUUCGAGAACAAGUACUAAAUAGUUUGCUUAUGAAACUUAUGAGAUUUUGAUAUAAACUGAUCGAAUUUUGUGUCUUCCAUGUUUGGUUGUCACAGAAAAGUAGUCCAAACAUACAAAGAGACAUCAUUAAGGGAAAAGAAGGUUCUAAAGCCACUUCUCAGGUAGUAACACACGCUUGAUAAUAAUUGUUAAAGUUUGAUAACUUAAUCAUUUAAAAUUGAUGUUCUUAUUUGAUUUCUUUAUGCUAGUUACAACCUGUUGGUAUUUUACGAGGGUCUUCAUGCAAGUUACUAAAUUGGCUCGGAAAUGGACAAGUUGUUGCAACUGGAGAAAUAGAAUCAACAAAUCCUGAGGCGAAAGUUCAUCACAUGGUGCUUGGUCCUGAUUGUUGGAAAGUUUGGGUAACUGUUGUCAGAGUGGAGAAUAUAUCUUUGUACCGCCCUACAAGUGAAUUUCGUGUCCUGGAGGAUGCUAUAUCUAGUACAAUUGCCUGGCCAUCAAAGUACGUCCAAGUUGGAGAGUAAUUUUAGUUCGUACUUAGACUAGAAAAUGGUACUUUGGCACUACAUGGAUAGUACUUUAUGACUUCCGUUGUUUAUGUAUUCAUUAGGCACUACAUGGAUAGUACUUUAUGACUUCCAUUGUUUAUGUAUUCCUUUGGAAACUCAAGUAUUUUUAAAUUAUGUUAUAAUAAUAUCAAGUAUUUUUUAUGUAGUUAUUAUAUUGUAGUAAAUAUGCAAUUUUGUUGGUUAUUCUGUACUAAAAUAUAUAAAUACAGAUAUAUAUAUAUAUAUAUUUGUUAAAUAUUUUUUUUUAAUUUUGGAAAAUAAUUUAUAACGGGCAUUAGCUGUGGUCAAUUAGUAAUUGACAACGGUCAUAGCAUGUGGUGUUAGAUCUCAAUCUAUCCCGGGUACAAUCCGUGGUUAUAUUACAUUUGACAACGGUCAUAGCCCGUGGUAGAAACUAAGACUUUUUAUCACAUCCAGAAUACUAACGGGCACAGUGUCCGUGGUGGAUUGCAAUUUAUCACGGGCAUUCACCGUGAUAGAUGAGCUUGGUAAAUAAAUAAUGUCACCCUUCCUACCAUCGAGUUAAGACGUGUACUCGACCAGAUGCCAACUCAGAUUACAAGUCAGCAGAGCUGAACAGGGACGAAAGCAGCUGUUCAAUUCAUGCAAUGGUUGGGAGGAAGAAAACAUCAGAAAUAGAAACGUCAAAGUUGGCAAAAAGCCAGUUUAUAUUUCCCUUUUUGUAUUCCUUGCGAGUUUAGUUAUCCUUGUUUAGGUAGGUAAGCCUCAUACUUUUCUCCCAGUUACUAUCGGAAUUUACACUUUCCUAAUCAGUUAGAGAUAUAUAUGUCACUAUUUAAACACACUUAAGUUGUUUAUGUCACUGUUCUAUCCUCUACACGAUCAAUAUCAGUACCAGCUAUCAACAAACAACAGCACUUACUUCCCAGUACUGUAACGAAGUUCUAGCUAGCUAGAGAUCGAGAUAGCAUCAUCACAUUCAACAAUGGCAGCAAUGUUCACAACAUAUUUUUCCAUUCUUUUUGGUCCCAACUCCUGUUUCUCCUUCAUGCGAUUAGCUGCGCUCUUCGUCCACGAGUUAUUAUCCAUCGUCGACGAAAACUCCACUGUUGGGCACCCGUGGACGGGUUUUUAUCAAUAUUUUUAAUGUGUGUGCGAGCUGGAGUACUCCUUGGGCUUCAAAGCAGCAGGCACGCGCUUUGUUUACGAAGGCAAUUUGUAUGGUUAUGUAAUUAACAUAAUAAUAAGAUCAUGUUCAGUUUAACCAUAAUUUAUCUGCAUCGUAGAAUACAAAAGACAAUAUGAAAUGAACGUCUAUGUUCAGUUUAACCAUAGUUUUCUCGAACAAAUAUAAAAACAGUGAACAUGGGAUAUGCCAGUUAAAAUUUGGUGACUUAAUGACACUGGUAUAAUGCCACAUGGUGUCAAUAAAAUAAAAAUUUGUGAAAAAAUUUGUGCACACGUCCUUAUUAAUUGGCACGUGACGUCACAUGGACACAUAAAGCAAAAUAAUAUAUGUGCAUGUACGUAUGUAUGCAAAAUUACUAAUCUUGGUUUCUAAAGCAUGUGGAAAUGAUGUUGCAAGGUAUUAAAGCUAAUUAAAUAAACUGAAAAUAUGACUUUAGUCCUUGCAACUCAAUUUUCUCCACUUAAAAUCCAACAUAAGUUUUUUACUCGAAUAACCCAUUAACUAGAUUCCAAAUAAGCAAAUUGAUUAAUUAUGUUUGAGCAGCUCACACAACCUUAAUCUACAAGAAGUUGAUCUCUACCUCUGUCAAACCCUUGUGGUCCAAGCAAUGGAAAUAUCGCAAGUUUAGCCAACAUGGACAUAGCAAGAAUUGGCUUAAUCCACAUCAAGUGUUUCUAGCAUUGGUUAUUCUAUACAGAAAUCUUGGUGUAAAAGGUCAUGAUGUAAUCUGAAUCCUUAAUACGUGGAAAUUACAAAAUAUCUUGCCCCAUUUUUUUAUGUCUAAUGUUUACUUCGAGUUUCUUUACAACUCAAUAAGUUUUCAAAUGUGUUGAUCUCUUAAUUAGCUAAAACUGUACAAUAUAAUUAGGUAAAUAGCAUUAUUGUGUAACCCUAAAUCCUAAUCCGGCCCUGAUUUGCCCCGUUGACAGUCCUGCAUAUAUAAGACAUGAAACUCAAAUUUGAUAUUUGGAUUCAUGAAUAAGGUUAUCUUAUACCAUGGAAGUUAUAUAAUGAUUUGGGAAAACUCUUUGGAAUUUCUGAAACGGAGGAUUUAUAGAGGAAUAAAGAUUAAUCUGAAACCAAUUAAAGAUAGCUAUAUAUAUAUAUAAAUACAUAACAUAUCAUCAUCACUUCUAAAAUAUGAUCACUGUAUGCGUGUGUGUGUCUAUAUAUCUUUCACGUCGUUACCAGCAUUCCCAACUAUGCAGCUCGAUAUAUGUUUGAUUGUGAUUAUCAAGCAAGAAAAUCGCGGUCUCAUUUGCUUUCCACACACAAUUUCCGUUGCAGUAAUCCAUUAAAGCGUAUCUAACAGCAAAGGCAUCAAAUCUUUUAUGUCCUCGACUCCAUCGUGUGUCGCAAAAGAAGAGAGUACUUCUCCAAAUGUUUAUGUGAAACUUCCAACUGAACUCCUGGUUCACUGGGAUAUUUCGAUCCCCUAAAUCAUUUUCCUUGGAUUUACAAUGAACUUGCAAUGUCUCGCUUUGGAAGCCGUUGACGAUAUGCACCCGAAUCUUCUCGAAUGCCUUAUUGUCUAGGGCGGAUUGGCUCGUCAGAAGACCGAUAAGCAAGAAGAAGAAAAUGGAAAUGCAGGUUUGGCAAAGUUUCAUUUUCAUUAGGGUCGAUGCUAGUUUGGAUGAAAUAAUGUGCUUCUGAUUCUCUCUAGCUUUGCUUAUAAAGUGAUUAAAUUUAGCGCGGAACAGUAACAUUGACACAUGAUGCAUGCCACAUGCAUGAUUUGUGCAACUUGGUAAGAAAUUUUUUUAUGCAAUCUCUCUCACAAUACUGUUAGAUUCACAUUAAUGGCGUGCGUUAGUGCAGAGACAAUUAAUUUCCUAGACGGCUUAAAAACUUGGUUUAGAUUACAGAGGAGUUAGUGACCGUUUUGUACUUAAAUAACAAUUAGGUCAAUAACAAUAACAUGUGUUCAUUUGACAUCAGUGUUAGGUGGCUGUUUUAUACUUAAAUAAUGCAAUUUACAUUUCAAAAUAAGGGAUUUUAAAAUAAUGAGAUUAUGUUUAAUUUUCAUCUAUAUAUAGUAACUAAUAAGAUUAUUUUUUAAUUCAACUAUAUAUAGUAACUGUUGAGAUUUAGUCCCACAUUGAUGGGAAGAGGGACCUUGCAUGAGCUUCUAAGAGGUUAGGCUACUCCCCAUAUUGCCAAUUGGUUUUAUGGUGGAACCUCAACUUUUUUCAUAGUAUCAAAGCAGAUUGUCCCACGUGUGAAGCCAAGAGCCACACGCGCUCCACGUCACCUCGUUGUGUUGUGGCCACACGUGCUCCACGUCAUCCUGUUGUGUUGUCCACGUGUUAGGCUUGAAAAUUCGCCACAUGUGAGGGGGCGUGUUGAGAAUUAGUCCCACAUUGAUGGGAGGAGGGACGUUGCAUGGGCUUAUAAGAGGUUGGGCUACCCCUAAUGACACGCCCCAAUCACGAUGUCCGAGGGACAUCGAGAUGGCCACGUGCUGGCCGACACCCAAGGGUGACGAAAGCCAUUUAAUGAAUGCAUAUGCUAAGAACAUGUAAAACAUGCGUAUAAAUUAUAGCAAAAUAAUAAGAUGUGACUAUUCAUUUCUGCGUGAAAAUAAUGAUAGUGCAUGACAUGUUCAGAGCAUACAUCUAAUUCAGAAUACAACGGAAUGUGUUAUUACAAUGAUGACAAAGCAGAGAUAAUGACACGAUAUCACUGGUAGGGGAAAGCUUCGUAGCGCGAAAACCCUAGUUUUAUGAAAACUAAUAGCAUAAUAUGUGAUAGGUUUUUCGAAAACCCUAGCAUGCUAUAAAACCUUUCAUAAAACAUAUCUCGUAUAUAGUGUGCUAACUAUAGUCGACCCGAAGGCCCCUACAUCACCCGACCCGAAGGCCUCUACAUCACUCGACCCGAAGGCAAAUAUAUAAAUAUCAUCGCCCAUUGGCAGAAUAGUGACCACUAGAUGUGCACAAAACCAUUGAAUAUACUCUUUCCAAACAUAUUUACAUAUAUCUUAAAAGCAUCUUCAUAGCAUAUAGUCAUCCAUCAUAUAUACUACAAAGAACAUAAGUUCGAUAAAAUAUGGUAAUCCAAAAUAUUUGCAGUAAAGCAUAAUAUCUCAUAAAACGUAAUCAUUAAAAUCAUGCUUUUCAUGUAUGCAUUUCUACUAUUAAAACAUGCAUUUUAGAAGGAGUCCACUUACAGAUACUCCGUCGUCAAAGAGCCGUACAAAAUAGGAAUGACGGAAUUGCCGCUAAUAACUGCACCUGCGAUUAACUGUGAAACGGUCGGAGGUGGCCGGGUUUUCACUCAAGGGUCUCGGGGUUAGCCGGAGUGCUUUCUAUGCUUCGUCGUGCCUCGCAGCGACGAGGGAUAGUGAGAGAGGGUCUGCGAGGGUGGUGGUGCUGCUGCGCCGUCGUCGGGGAGCCUCUAUGGGUGUGCGUGGGUGUGUGGGUUCGAUCGGGGAGAGAGAGAGAGAGAGAGAGAGAGAGAGAGAGAGAGAGAGAGAGAGAGAGAGAGAGAAUGUGUGUGUGUUAUGUGAGAGUGAGAGAGAUAAAGAGCUGAGAGAGUGGGCUAAGGGAGAGAACUCAGGGAAAAAAUGAGAAAAUAUAGGGUGAGUGCUUGCCACGUGGCAAGCAGAGGGAGAAGGAGAAUCUAAAGGGAGGGUCCGGAUUGGAUUACGAUAGGGGACUAAAAUGUAACUUUCAUAUGCUUUUAGGGAAAUUAUGAAAUUACAUUAAACUUUUGGGGGUGCGGUUUCACACCUGAUAUUGUCAAUCGGUUUUAUGGUGGAACCUCAACUUUCUUCAUGACAGUAAUAUGUUUCACCGAUUACAUAAGACAACAUAAUGAAUUUGUUGCAUGCACAAUGUUGUGACAUGCCAUAUGUGGGAAUUUAACUGGUGAAACAUAUUCUUUUUAAUUAAAAUUUGUUACCACUAAAUCUGAAGCUAGCUCGUAUAUGAAUGAAACCAUUUAUGUAACACAUAUUUACAUUACAACCAUUGUAACCUAUAUUUACAUAACACAUAUAACUUGCAAUGAAGUUACCACCACCUACUACCUAGUUACUUUACAUGUAGCUGGUCUAUAAUUAAAGCUAAACAUAGAAUAACUCAUAUGACACGGAUAAACGGUUAUGUGACGUCUUAUACAAAUUAAACAACAUGUAAACAUGAUGACACUGUGGCGGUACACCAGUAUUAUGUAAGUCCUCGUAAACAGCAACAAAGAUUUAGCAAGGCUAGCUUUUUAGUUUGAGAAAAUUGAAGCAUUGAUACCCAAAUUUUAGUACAAUUAAGGUUUGGUUUCUAAGUUAAAAAUCUGUGAGUAUUAGUCCUUAAAGUUAUAACAAUGAAGUUUUCUUACUAUUAUUAUAUCAAUUGCACUGAUGCCUCAGGUUUUCUUGCUGAAUUCUGGAGUUGUACUCUGGUAGUUUAGUAUGAUGUUUGAGUUCGAUCUACUCGGAAGUUGGAACUCUGAUUCUCAAGUUUUGAAUUGUAUUGAUCUAUGAAUACUCUUCCAUGGAAGAUGCAAAAUACCUUGAAAUUGGGAUUUUACAUGUUUUGUUGGCCAAAAGUCCAGUACAUACAUGUAUUGGCAUUUUCAAUGAUUACUGGAUGGAAGCUAGAACUGGAAAAAGCCUUGCAGCUUCUGUGACAAAAGGUGGUCCAAAUACAACCAAAUCAUUCGAUAAAAAAAUAAAAGACGACGAAAAUAAUGAGCUUGUUAACUAUACAUAUAUAGUGGCCUGGCAAUUCUUCUUCCUUGGUCUUGUCGUGUAUGAUUGAGAUUGUAUCGCAUAACCAUUGCCAGAGACAGUAGGCAUGAGCAUGGCUGCAACUGAAAAGGCUCCUAUGCUUCCAAACUUCGGAUUUGCAUGAAUUUUUGUAAGGAUGCUAUGUGCAUAUAUGAAGACCUAAAAAUGAACAAUUCGGAUGAGAAUAACGUGUGAUGUUGGCCCAAACGAUAGUUAGUUCCGUAUUAACUUACUAUGAUUAGUGAGAUUAAUAAUAUGAUCAGAUUAAUAUAAAAAUUAGAAAGAGGGUACUACAGAGGAGAGACCUGUAAAUUUCAAUGGUUCAUUGAUGGCUCCACACUUUCAGCUUCAUGUCCAAACUUAAGGACAGAUGUACGUGUUGGCAAAGCGUAUGGGAUACCACUGAAAGGUCACAAGUUUUGUGAAAUGGUGUGGCCAAUUAUUGUUGGAUGAAAACUAGAAAUGGAAGAAGUCCUGUGACAAAAGGUGUGUUGCACUACCUUUGGGAAAAAGAAGUCUUGUUUGACAUAGACUUCAAAUCAGUGAGCUAACUGAUUGUGAGGUGGUUAAUUAUAUAUAUAAUCUUAUGUUUAUUAAAUUAAUUACCCCAUGGGUGACCUGGGCCAUAAACUUGUCUUAAACACCUGACCACUUUUGAUAUAGCUUGCAAGGAAUUAUUGAUCGUGACCAAAUGACCACAAUUAAUUACCACCACCUACUCGUUACUUUAAUGCAGGUAAGCCAAACGGAGAAUAACUCGUUACUCACAUGCCACGGAAAAAUCGUUAUGUGGCAUCUCAUGCAAAUGGAACAACGUACGAAUAUGACGACACCAUGACAAUACGUUCAUGUCAUGUAAGUCCUCAUAAACGGCAACAAAGAUCUAGCAAAGCUAGCUUUUUAGUUUGAGAAAAUUGAAGCAUUGGUUCCUAAAUUUUAGUAGAAUCAAAGUUUGGUUCCUAAAUUAAAAAUCUGAGUAUUGGUCCCUAAACUUAUAAGAAUAUUGAGUAUUUCUUUAAGAUAACUCCGUUAGAACUUUCACCUCUUAUUUGCAAGGUCACAAUAAGUUUUUUGAAAUGUAGUGGCCAAUUGUUACUGGAAGGAAGCUAAUUCUGACUCCUACAUGCACCUGUUACAAAACGGCGUUUGCACCACCUUGGAGAAAGAGACAACCCUAAAACACUUCAGAAGCAAUGUGGCCUUGUGGUAUUGAAUCUUGAAAGGAUUCAAUGUCGUCUGCACCUGUUACAAUAUAUGACCUAACAUAUUACCUGAAUAAAGCAACUACAGUCCCCCAGGUUCGACGAGUCAAUUUCCAUGUCCAUAUAUGGCAUCACCAUCAAGAGCCUGAAACAAAAUUUAGAACUCAUACGAACGAACCUACCAAAACUUUAGAAAGUGGCAUAAACUUUCGUAGCUAUGAAUCUAUACUUUCAAAAGAAAAGCAGACACAAAUUAAGAAAUAAAAUUGAAACUCCAUGUGUUCAUUAAAUUGUUACACAUGUGUACCACAACCAUGCCAGAGCAAAGUUGUGUAGACAAAUGAAAUGUAAAUUUACGUGCAAUGAUCAAAUCUAAAUUUGUAAUGAUAUAAGAGCACCAAGGAAAUUGUAUAACUAAGAAUUAGUUAGAGCGAUUGAAUUGAGCAACACUGAUUCAGAAUAAGCCCAUAUAAUAGGUCAAUAACAAUAUAGUUAGGUAUUUAACAUCACCGUAUAUAACCCUAAACCCUAAUUCGUCUCCUGUUCGCCCCGUUGUCAUCCUUGAUAGCCAUUAAACUCAAAUUUGAUAUUUGGCAUUUUACAUGUCCACUCAAGGUUUGAUGAAUGAAUUAUAGAUUAUCUGACGGUCAUAAUAAUUUAUAUGAAUAUACAUGUAUUUAAUACAAUUACUAUCUGACUGUCGAGAUGGUGUUUGUAUUAUAUACAUGCAAGUAUUGUAGCAAAAUUCAGAAUUAUAUGACUUUUGGGAAAGCGCUUUUGAAUCUCUGAAACAGAGGAUUAAUGGGGGAAAUAAUGCAGGAAGGUCACUGUUAAGUUUUCGGAAAUAAUGCAGAAAAAACAAAAACAAAAAGCUUGUGUAAUUUUGGAAGGAAAUUGAAUGCGUCUCUGAAACGUAGGAUUAAUAGCUAGAAAUUAAACAUGACGACCAAUUAGUAGUGAGAAAAUGGUCUACACAUACAUUAUCCAUCUUAUUUAUAGGUCCAUGAGCAACUUUUCAGACACCAAAAUCCCUCGGACCAAAGAUAAAAGACACCAAACUCCUUCAAAAUUUUCAAAGCAAGUUCCAGAGCAGCGGAAUAUAUAUCACUGCGUCUGCUCCAAAAGGUAAGCCAUAGCCGCUGUUAUAUAAAGCGAAGAUCAUGAUACAUUAGUAGGUUUGUUAUUACAAGAAGUACUGUAUUAUUGUGUUCUGCGUCGUGUUUUCAAUAUUUCUAAACUUGUACCACGCUGCAUCAUGCAUGACUCAUGGAAGUCUUUUUCUGUUGACAGAUUACGAUCGAGCCGUCAUCUUUUCCGAGAAUGUGCAUGUGACCCUUAUCACCAUUGGGAGAGCUGGGUGAUACUGAACUUAAAGGUUCUGAAGUUCGACUUUUCCUUCAGUUGGCCAAUCAACGUUUGGCCUAGAACCUUCGAUCACAAGCGGUGCCUCACUUGGUGUUCUUGUGAAUUGAAGAAUUCUCUCAAUUGAUAUCAUUGAGUUUUCGACAUUGCAUAGAUUCCAAAUAACCCAAGCCUGCAGGACCAUGAGGUUAAAGCCAAAAGUGCCGUUGAUGCCCAUACCCGAACACACUUGUCCAAGGCAGGCAAAAUUCUAGCUCAUUGUUUUCGAGUGUAUUUACUUAAUGUUUAUGCAGUAGUAAUUGAUCAGGAAUUGGUUCAGGAAUGUCUCUUGCAACUCAUCCGACGGUCAUCUAUGUCACUCAUCAACUAGAAUUUUUAGAAGCAGCGGACUUUGUUUAGGUACGUUAAUUAUUGAUUACAUGUACAUUUUUUUUUUUCUUUCAAAUACUCACUUAUCUAACUCAUGAUUAUAAUUCAAUUAUUUAUAUUUAGGUAAUUAAAGACGGUGAACUCGUGAGGCAAAUACAAAAUCUCUACAGCAAGUUCGGACUUGUCCGCAAGAUUCCUCAGAACACACUACUUAUUGCCGUAAUACAAACAGAACUGCUAAAAUAUUACACGUAGAAAUAGUGGAAGAAGCUUCCAUUAACAACAAAGUUGUUAAUAAGAAAAGCCGAGAAGAGGAAGAAGAAGCACACAGAGGACGAGUAAGUGGAGUGUGUAUUCGACAUUCGUGACUCGCGCAUAUGGAGGCACACUUGUUCCUGUUAUCUUGCUCUGUCAAGUUCUCUUCCAGGGGCUUGAAAUGGCAAGAAACUACUGGAUUGUUUGGGAGUCAAAGAAGGAAAAUGGAAUUACCAUAGAAGAGAUGAACUGGAUUUUCGCUUUGUUAUCGGGAGGGAGGGAGCUGUGUCUUCAUCUUACAAAGGGCUGUUAUAACCUCAGCCGUCACCAUUGAAACUUCCCAGCGUCUCUUGCAUGGGUGAUGAGUUCAGUUUUCUGAGCACCUAUGGCGUUUUUUUAUUCCACUCCUUCUAGUCGAAUCCUCAAUAAGGUAAGUAAGAUAUUCUCUAGUUCACAAGUUCAACGUUAGAUUUUGUUAAACUGUUUCGUUGAAUUAUAAAUCAAAUUCUAAGAGUACUCCAAAACAUGGCUUUUCUUGUUGCGUACAUAAACUUAUGAAUAUUACAGUCUUCGACUGAUCAAAGCACAGUGGACAUGGAUAUUCCAUUCAGAUUGGCUGGAUUAGUAUUUGCACUCAUCCAGCUAAUAGGUUCCGUCAUCCUUAUGUCUGUAGUUGCCUGGCAAGUCAUCCUCCUUUUCCUUGUCAUCUUUGCACUCUCCGCGUGGUACAUGGUAAACAAGAAGAGAACCUUAGUUCGUUCCACACUUAAAAUUUCAAUGCAUAAUCUUGUUUCUUGAUAAAAAUUAAACGCAUAAGUACUUUGCUUUGCUUUUUUUUCCCCAGGUGUAUUGCAUUAGCACUGCCAGAGAAUUAUCCAGGAUGGUUGCAAUUCAAAAGGCUCCAAUACUGCAUCAAUUUUCUGAAUCAAUCACGGGGGCUGCAACUAUUCGUUGUUUCAAUCAAGAACAAGAUCGCUUCAUGAAGAAAGUAAGAAGCGUGAUUGAUGAUUUUUCAGGAGUAGCCUUUCACAAUUAUGCAACCACGAAAUGGCUUUCUGUGCGAAUGAACUUUCUCUUCAACUUAGCCUUCUUCAUAGUCCUCAUCAUCUUGGGGACCUUGCCUGCAUCCGCCAUUUAUCCCAGUAAGCCCCCUUGUGUCCCCUAUGUUUUACUAAACCAAGAUUUAAGAGGAAAUGUUAUUAAUUCAUUCAAUCUGAUUGGGAUUAAUGCUUUUGAAUCUCAGGUUUGGCAAGAUUGGCUGCAUCUUAUUGCUUUAACCUCAUGGUCCUUCAGGCUUGGUUAUCUGGAAUCUAUGCAAUGUUGAAAACUCAAUGAUAUCAGUUGAGAGAAUUCUUGAAUUCACAAGAAUACCAAGUGAGGCACCGCUUGUGAUUCAAGGUUCUAGGCCAAACGCUGGUUGGCCAACUGAAGGAAAAGUCGAACUUCAGAACCUGCAAGUUCAGUAUCACCCAGCUCUCCCAAUGGUGAUCAAAGGGGUCACCUGCACCUUCCCGGGAAAUAUGAAAGUCGGUGUAAUGGGAAGGACAAGAAGUGGAAUGUCUACUUUGAUUCAAGCACUGUUCCGAAUAGUAGAACCCUCAGGAGGGAAGAUUCUCGUUGACAGAUUAGACAUUUCAAAAUUGGGUUGCAAGACUUAAGGUCAAGUUUGGGCAUAAUCCCACAAGAUUCAACCUUAUUUCAAGGAACUGCGAGGACUAAUCUGGAUUCCCUGGAGCAGCAUUCGUGUCACAAAAUAAUUGGAAUCUCGCCGAGUAUGCUACAUAGCAAGCUUGACUUGCUAGAACCAACAGCACCGAAAACACUUGAAGUGGAAUAAGCCAAAAACUCCAUGAAUGGAAGUGAAGAACUCCCCGAUUGCUUCUACGUCCAUGCUGAUUAAAUUUAUGAUAUUUCCAUUGCUUGGGCAGGCUAGAACUAAGAACCAAAACUAGUUCAUCAACUGUGUGGUCUUUUCAUUAACUUUUGCUCCUGAAUUUUGCCUAUUGGGAAGCGAUUGUUGUAAAAACUCGAGUUCAGAGUUAAGAUCAUAUUACGGCCUUUUAUCUAAUGUCGAUUAGUUGGGUAUCCCAAUCCAACUCUACUAUUAGUCUUAACUUCAUUGAUUUGUAUGUAAGUUCAGUGCAUAUUACUGCUAUGGUUUUGUUUCUUAGCCCACAAGCAAAGUAGGAAAUUAAUUUUAGACCUGAGUUGAAUAAUAUGAACUUUAUCGAGAAACAAAAUCAUACACACACCAACAACUUGGCAGCUCUCAGUACAUAGAAUUCGUCUCAUAAACCCUUUUACCAAACAAAUUUUGUGUCCUACGUUCUCCAAUCCCUGCAAGGUCUAUGAAUCGCAUCAUUCGAUUCACUUUGGAAUCUUUGGAUCUGAGAAGUAUUUGUUGAUAGAUGGCAUGAUCUGGGGGGCUCUGCUUCGGACAUAUUUCCGGAGUCCAUGUUCUGCGUAUCUCUCACCCUCUGCAUGGUUCUCUAGCACCCCUGCAAUUCUGUUCUGCUUGGUAACCCUGAAACAUACAUAACACAAGAUUAAUCAACACCAUCGAAUAAUUAUUUGUAAUCGUUUCUAUUUGUGCAUACGGGCAAAUGGGUCUACGUACCUGACUUCAGGGUUGGUGGUGAUGUUCCUAACAAGCUGCAUGCCGCAAACGCCAACAGCUAUACCAACUGCAGCAAUAGGGGGAACACCUAUGCAUCCAGGCCAACAAAAAAAAUAUUUCACGUAUAUGAGUGCCACAUUAAUUAGUUAGGGUUCUAAGAAACCAAUAUUCUGACCUUUAAGAAACAUAUAAGAAGUCGAGAAUCGAAAUAAUUCCAGUACCUCGGGCCUUAUCCAUCUGGAGGACGAAGCCAUCGUAAAGCUGUUGAGAGAAACGAAGAAGAAGAGAAGAGAAGAUGAUUGAACAACUGUUCCCUUCUCUUUCUUGGAGGUGGCGUGAGAGACAAGGCAGAGCAACCUGAGUUUUUUUCACAACUAUGAGCUCUAUAUUUAUAACACCCACUAAUUACCCAUUUUUAGAUUCCAAAGAAAAAGCACAGCCUUGACCUAUUUUUAUCCAAAUUCCAAUUAAUUCUAAUUUUUCGGUUCAAAGUUUGUGGCCUUCCCUGUUGAGGAACUAUUUGACUAAGUUUCUGUUUUGGUCCUCACCAUAUUUACAAGUUAAUUGAGCCCCCCAUUUUGGCCCAAUGGACCUAUGGAAGUUCUUUCGUCAUGUCUAAUCAACGAAAUUUUUUUUCGCAAUGGCUCGUUUGGAAGUGUUUUUAAAUUGACUGAAAGUGGUUUAACAGAAAAUAUUUUUGGGUUUUAAAAAGUGCUUGAAGUGUUUCUUACAAUAAACAUCAGUUAUGUGCUUCUUGCAAGAAAUGAUUAACUUGCAUUUUAACUGAGAAUUGAUUUCAAAAACAUUUUUAUGAAAAGUGUUUUCUGUCAUUCUGAUCAGUUAUGUGCUUCUUGCAGAUCGAUAAUGACGAGAAUGAACUCUUGAGUAACAUAAUACGAUAGAAGACUAACAAUUUGAUUCCUCGUCUUCUAUAUUACAUGAGCUAUUCAUGUGCAUAAGAGAAGUACAUCCGUUCUAACUAAUGUGACUAUACCCAAGUGUGCCAUAAUAUUGUCAGAACAAUGCUCAAGUACAAGUAGCACCGUAAUCCAACCCAAAAUCGGAUUGUAUCCCCUUUUUAAAUUAGGAAAACUAAUGAAAAAGACUUGAAAACUUUGAGUUUUAACGAUAAGGACAAAAUAAAGGGUAAAGUGAAUAGUACCAGGAUUGACUUUUUAGUGUAAAAAUGUGGUUUUUAGUUAAAGUGAACAAUAUCAGAAACUUUUCGUUAAAGUUUUCUUUUAAAUUUUGGACUGGCUCAGAGCCCAAAACAACUAAAAAGACUACCUAGCCGAAGGUAUAUCAUCCCUUGCCCUUGCCUAAGGCAUGAUGCAUCCAACAAAGAAGUCACUCGUCGUCACAUUAUCCGUCUUGUCCACAAAUCGAGACCCACCUUCACGUUCAUUGUUGUCAUUUCCUUAUUUUGGACCGCUCCUUUCGGUUUCAUUGAGUUUCCAACUCUCGUAUGCUAUAUAGAACGACACUCGUGUCAUAGACUCAUAAUUAGGGAUGGGCAAAAUACUUAUGGAUUGAGGUAACCGCGGUUACUCACCUAUUUAAAUUUCACGGUUACGGUUAUAGGUAACCGUUGAGACGAACACAAUAUUUACAUAAGGAGGACAAAACAGUAAUUAUGUAAUAUUAAAAAAAAUAUGCACUUCUUAAGAGAAAUUGUUCACACACACAAAGUGUGUGCUCUCUGCUAGUUCAAUUUAUGCAUAUGGGUGUGUGAAAAAUCAUGGAAUGUAAACCUUCUGUUAAUGCAUAUUGAUAAAUGGUGAUACUAACUCAAUUGACUUGGUACUCCGUUUUUGUUUGCUAUUUUUUUUUCCUGAUAACUGAGUGUACAAUGUAAACCUUCUGUGAUCACUUAUCUCUGUUGGAUUCAUGCUAAUUGGUAUCGGUGUUCCUGAAUGAGAUACUAAUUCAAUUUAUACAUUUCUUUUGUAGGCCUCUUUUGAUAACAACGAGUCGAUGAGACUUUGUGAUUGAACGUGCUAAAACAUUAGUGUUCAAAAGUGUUUAGUUUCGGACUAUUUUGGAGCUUUGAAUCAUUUAGUAUUCAAGAUAAUGACUACUUUUUGUUUUUAGAAGCUUUACUUUGUAAUUAUAUGGAUUAUAAUUAAAGACUUGCUUGGGUGUAGCAGAAAAAUAUCGUUCGUAAACUAUUAUUUCAAUUAUUGGAAUUGUAUGAGGACUUAAAUGAUUAAAAUGGGGAAAUGCAUGCUAAAAUAUACCUAUAACGGUGUUUAAUUGUCAAAAAACAAAAAUUAUGACAAAUUUUUCUUUUGUAAUUUUUAAGUUGUUAAAAAAAAACAUGUAGACGGGUGAAAAAAAGGGUAAAUGGAUAAAAAAAAGGAUAAACGGGUUAUAAAACAAGUAAACGGGUAAACGGUUAUGGUUAAAUGGGUAAACGGUUAUGUUAAAUGGAUACACGGUUAUGAGUAUGGUUAACCGUUUAUAAAAUGUUAUGGGUAUGAGUAUAACCGUUUAUGUAAUUACCCAACGGGUAAACGGUUAUGCGGGUAUGAAUAUAAACGGUUAUGGGUAAAUAACCGCGGUUAGCCGCCCGUCAUAACCGUUGCCCAUUCCUACUCAUAAUCCAAGUUGUUGAGAUGUUGCUAUCAAAUUAGGGUUUAUCUAUCCCUCAAUCCGCUCAAACAUCAUGAGCUGGGCAACUGGAGGUACCUAUAAACACGAUUUGGCCAAUUGAACAAAGCAAACUAAAUUUAUAUAAGGAGAAAUUAGGUUCUCAUCCUUCUUUUUGCUACUCCAUUGAUUAAAAUCCUAUUCCUUUUCAAUUUUUGAUCAAGGUCCUUGGAUAUUAAUAACAUCAUUAAUUAUUUCAAUAAUAAAAUAUUUUUUUAUUUAUAAAUAUAUUCAUUUAAUGUUAAAAAUGUUACAAUUAGUAUAUUUAUAUUUAUGACUAAAAUUUUUAUCAUAUAUUUUUAGUUUUAGUUUUUAAAUGUAAUUCUUUUUUAAUUUGUACCAAUUUUCUUUUCAGUUUUAAUUUGUACCCAUAUAUUAAUUUCUUUUUGUGCCCAUAUUUUUUAAAGUUUAUUUGUAUUUGUACCCAUAUAUGUUUUUUUAUUUGUACUUUUUAUUUUGCUAAAUGUACCCAUGCUAAUUAUAUGUACCCAUUCAUGUAAAACUUUUUAAUCUUAAAUCAUACUCAUUCUUAAAUAUACCCAUUUGUUAUAUGUAAAAUGUACCAUUUUUUUAUAUAAAAUCUUUUCAAUUUUUUUCUAAUCCAUUUUUAAACUUAUAUGGGUACAUUCUUUUUUCUUUGAUUUUAAAAUGUAUCUAUGUCAAGUUUAAUCGAAGAAAUUUACUAAUGUUAUUAAGUCUAAUAUCUUCUUCUCUUUUUUUUUGGUCGUUUUGAAGAAUGUACCCAUGUUUUGAUACAAUAAUUUUUUUGGUUAAUUUUGAUGAAUGUACCCAUGCUUAUAUAGACACACACACACACUAUAGUAUAUUUAUAUUUUAAUAUUUUUAAUCCCACAAAUUAUGGUUUUUUAUUUAAAAUCUCAUUUAUAUAAACAACUAAAAUUUCUAAUUUUUAAUUUAAAAAAAUAUAGUAACGUACAUAGAAAUAAAUUAUCACAUUAAUUUCAGGAACCUCGAUCAAAAAUUAAAAACCAACAAGAUUUCAAUCAAAAAAAAUUCAUAGCUAAGGACCGCAUCCAAAAUCUAUCAAGGUCCAACAUUUCCAGCUAACUCUUUGUGUUAUAUUCCUAUUGUUUUUCUCGCUUUCUCUCUUGUUCCGUCGGCUGCAAAUUUUAAUACAAAUUCUGGCAUCUGGCCUUGACUUUAUGCAAUUGUUCCCUUCCCAGCUUCCUUCAAAUAGUUCAUCGAUCAUUGGGCGAUACAUAAUAUUCUUAGUUUUUUAUUUUUUGGCAUAGAACCUAGCAGAUCUCAACGAAGUUAUUAAACAGAGCCACUGACAAGAUUGGAGCACUGUCUUGUCCCUGUUCUAUGUCAUCAUGCACGUCUGAUUUUAAUUUUGUAACAAAUUUCAUUGAGUUUUUUUAGCAUGAUUAAGUUUUGGAUCGCUUGUAUAAGAGUAUGUUUAACUAAUAUAAGGAAGAACAAACUUAAAACUGACUUAUAGGUCGGAAAAAUAUUCUUUGGAGAAGCCACAUUAUAUCUAUGUUUAUGAAGAACUUUCAAAUGCUUUUUUAGAAGCACUCGAAAUAUUUUUAAUUCAACAUUUAGCAAAACACAGUUAUGAGCAUAUUGAGCUUGCAGAAGUAGUCACCAACGAGCUCUAAGUGUGUGUUGAGUUAGAUUGGGGUAAUGUUUUUAUGUUAAUUAAUGUUUAAAAUAGAUUUUUUUAUUUAUUUUAUUUUAUUUUUACAAUUGAUAAGAUAAUCUACACUGAUUCAUCUAAAUUACAGGUUUGAAAAUUCUAAAUAGAGUCUCGAAUACAAAAACAAAUACGCUUAACAAACUGAACUACGAGUUACUUACUGAUUAAUUACUUAGCCUUUACUCUUGAGUCAUUUCAUUUCAUGGUUGAAACUUUUGUUAUUGAAAAUGCUAUUAAGGAUAAUGAAGGACCACCAGAUUGUAAUGCACAUAAGGCACUAGAUUAGUACUUAGCUUAGCUAUUAAGCUAAGUUUGAUAUAGUCGGUUAUGUAUUGCUGACUCAGCAUUGAAUAGGAUAUUAUUAUUGAUGUAUAUAUCCUUGUGUAAUAAGAAAUCAGAAAAUGUAAUGAGAAUCAUUUUUCUUACAAUCCAAAUCAAGCUCUCUCUCUCUCAUCAACUGCACAGAUUCAUAACUUCAUCAUGGUAUCAGAGCCGGAGUCCACCGACGUCGAUCCUUCGCUUCCCUCAUUUUCUUAAUUUCUUGGAUUUUUCUUAUCUCCCAAACAGAUCUUACCUACUUUCUUGCAUUUUUCUGAUCUCCCAAACAGAUUUUUCUUUUCUUUCGUGCAAUAUGUCUACAACAACUAUGGCGCCUCAUCCACCCUCUUCUGAUUCCUCUCCUCCAGCUACCUCUUCUGGUCCUACUCCUCUUGGUGAGAUCUCUACCAAUGUGCCUCCAUCGAUUGCGACAAUUACUGUUCAAAACAUUGCUGGAAUGGUUCCGACGAAACUCAAUCGGCACAAUUACAUCACCUGGCGUAGCUUAUUCCUUCUCGUUCUGAAGCGAUUCAAGCUUUUAGGGCUUCUUACUGGAGAUGAUCCUUGUCCUCCUCCGUGUGUUCGUGAUUCGUCUGGAUCUCAGAUUCCUAACUCUGCGUACGAACUAUGGUGUGAACGUGAUCAAAUCUUGACAAUCUGGAUCAACUCCACUCUUGCUGAAGAUCUUCUUCCUCUGACCAUUGGAAUGGAGGAUUCUCGUUCUCUGUGGCAGUCUCUUGAACGUCGUUUCGCAGGCGCUUCGCGCACUCAUGUUCAUAGUCUCUGAUCUAAAAUCCAGAAUAUUCAAAAAGGUGAUGCUUCCAUGACUGAGUAUCUCAACACUAUUAAGGACAUAUCUGAUAAACUUGCUACUGCCGGUGAAUCGAUUUCUGAUUCAGAUCUUGUGGCUUAUAUUCUCGCUGGUCUCCCGGAUGAGUAUGAAUCUUUUGUUGACUCCAUCAAGACAAGAACUGAGUCUGUUAAUGGUGAUGAACUCCAUGGUCUUCUCCUUAGUAAGGAGAUUUCUCUUCAAAAACACAAGACUCGAGUCUCUUCAUCCUCAAGUUCUGCACAUUUCCAUGCUUAUGCUGCUCAACAAGGAUCAUCUGGUUCCCCUUCUUUCAAAGGCAACUUCAUGGGAAAAUAUCAGAAUCAGAAUCGCAAUCAAUACCACAAUCGUAAUCGAUUUCCUCAUAAUCGCAACUUUGGUGCCAAUCGCCAACAUAAUAACUCUGGAGGUAUUCUUGGUCCUGCUCCCUCUCGUUCCUCAUUCUCUGGCGCACAUUCCGGUCACACUCCUGGACCAUCCCAACCUGGACAAUCCAUUCCUUAUCAGCUUUGUAAUCAAUAUGGUCACUCUGCUCUUUACUGUGGCUCUCUCUCCCAGUUUGCUUCUCACCGUUCCCCUCCCAUGGGUUUCAAUGCUCUGACUGCAUCCCAUCCUCCAAGCUACUGGAUUACUGACAGUGGAGCGACUCAUCAUGUUACUCAUGAUCCAGCCUCUCUAAACUCUGCAACACCAUACACUGGCACAUACCAACUUUUCGUUGGUGAUGGCAAAGGUUUGUGUAUUUCUCAUACUGGAAAUGCUUUAAUACGUACUCUUAAUGCUGUGUUCAAACUUUGUGAUGUGUUAUUAGUUCCUCAAGCCUCUCAUAAUCUCCUGUCCGUUUAUAAAUUUGUGUAUGACAACUGGUGCUCGCUGACUUUUGAUCCCUUUGGAUUCUACAUCAAGGAUCUAAGAACUAGGAGGAUGUUUUUCCAGGGCCCCAGUGAAGGAAGAUUGUACCCUUUCUACUGGCAUGCUUCUAAUGGUGUUUCUGGCAUUGCUAUUUCACCUCAUGCUUUAAUGAUUGCUAAAGCUGAUAUCACUACAUGGCACAGACGACUUGGUCAUCCUUCAAGUCUAGUUUUCAAUAAAAUAGUAAAUAAAGGUCACUUGUAUGUUGCUGGUUCACAUUCUCAGAAGUCUGUUUGUUCUGAUUGUCAAUUUGGGAAGGCCUCAAGAUUGCAAUUUUCUGUUUUGCCUUGUAGUUCUACUCAGCCAUUUCAUCUUGUUCAUGUUGAUGUAUGGGGUCCUUCCCCCACCUCUUCUUGUACUGGAUAUCGCUAUUACCUAAUACUAGUUGAUGAUUUCACUAAAUAUAGAUGGCUCUAUCCACUGCAUUAUAAAUCCGAUGUGUGUUCUGUUCUUCAGACUUUUGUUCUCAAAGUUCAAACUCUUUUCGACAGUAAAGUUCAACGUUUGAGAUCUGAUUCAGGGGGUGAGUUCUUAAGUGCUACUUUGCAAAGCUUCUUUAAUAUUCAAGGCAUAACUCAUCAAUUGAGUUGUCCUCACACUCCUGAGCAGAAUGGAUGUGCGGAACGCAAACAUCGACAUGUGGUUGAAAUGGGUCGAACUUUAUUAUCUCACAGUGGCUUACCAUCUCAGUACUGGAUUGAGGCUUUUCAAACUGCAGUAUACCUCAUCAAUCGCCUCCCACCUCAGGCUUCUUCUAUUAGUCCUUGGGAAUUACUCUUCAAAGCUACACCUCAAUAUCACCUCUUGAAGACCUUUGGGUGUGCAUGCUAUCCAUGGCUCCAACCUUACUCAUCCAGUAAGUUGGAUCCAAAGAGUAAACUUUGUGUGUUCUUGGGAUAUAGCUUGAAUCACAGUGGUUACCGUUGUCUUGAUCCGGUUACUAACAGGUUAUAUAUUUCGAGACAUGUGGUGUUUGAUGAAACUCUUUUCCCUUUCAAGCACUCUCCCAAUUUACCUUUUCCUACUGUAUCCCCUCCUUCUAUUUCUUCUCCUCCAUUCUCUCACCCUAUUUCUCUUACUAUACCUAUUCAUCCUACUCCAACCCCUCAUCCCAUUAUAAAUAAUCCCUCAUCUUCCCCUAUCUCCUCACCAGUACCCCUCCCUCCUCCCUCUUCUUCAUCUCGUGUCCCCCCUCCUACAACUAUCCCAGCCAACCAACAUCCUAUGAUUACCCGAGCCAAAGCAGGUAUUUCUAAGCCUAAGAUCUUUACAGCCACUAAGCAUCCUCUCUCCCCUUCAGUUGAUCCACUCACCAUCAUCCCUCCGACCCCUACCACUUAUCUUCAAGCCUCCAAGCAUCCUGCUUGGGUAAAAGCCAUGACAGAUGAAUAUCAAGCACUUCAAUCCACUGGUACUUGGGAGUUAUAUUAAGGAUAAUGAAGGACCACCAGAUUGUAAUGCACAUAAGGCACUAGAUUAGUACUUAGCUUAGCUAUUAAGCUAAGUUUGAUAUAGUCGGUUAUGUAUUGCUAACUCAGCAUUGAAUAGGAUAUUAUUAUUGAUGUAUAUAUCCUUGUGUAAUAAGAAAUCAGAAAAUGUAAUGAGAAUCAUUUUUCUUACAAUCCAAAUCAAGCUCUCUUUCUCUCUCUCAUCAACCGCACAGAUUCAUAACUUCAUCAAAUGCUUCCCUACCAAUCGGUCGUCAAUCGACGCCUCUACCUGGUUGUUGGUGAUGUUUCAUGCACGCCUAGCUAUAUAUUUAGGUAUUUUAUUUUCUGUGUUGAAAGACUAUUGAAUUUGAAACUUAUUAUUAUUUUUACCAAGAAUAAUUUGACAGCACGAUUGUGGCAAAGCAUUGCCCAUGCAGGAGGAAUGAUGUCAAACUUUUACCCACCAAAUUUUUUAAAAUUUAUAAAAGUCAGAAUAUAUAGGUCGAAGUCCAAAUCCACUUCAUAAAAACAUACUAUAAUCACCAGUAAUCCAUCACUUACUCGUAAAUUUUUUAUUACCUUUUUUUUCUUUCCAAUCUAUCAUUUAGAAUAAUACUUAUGUUCUAGUGGAUAGAGUAUUUCGUUUCCCCCCAUCCAUCCCGGGCUCGGAAUUCUCUUCUUCCCUUAAUUAUUGUAAUAGUCAAUUAAAAUAAAGAUUUGUUUAGUCAACCUGAUGUAUAAAAUAAAUCACAAUUAUGAUAAAAAUUAACACUAUCAUGAUGAUUCAAUUAUUGAGUCAUCAUCAUUUUUCUAAUAGAGACGAAUAUUAAAAUUGAGUUGUGAGUAAGAAAAUAAACAUGAUAUUGGGACAGUCAAAAUACGUAUUGUCUCGUAUAUAAAUUAUUCCAACUUUGGAAUGGAUGAUUGCGAAUACCGUAUAUAAGACUAGUAGUUAUUUGAUAAAGUUUAAAGGUCAAUUCGCAAUGGUUGUGGUUUUUUAAGAAUUAAUGUGUGGGCAGAGUGAGUUGAUGCAUCAUCAUCCAUGGGUAAGGCAUGACAACAACAAUCUUUCAAAAUUCUCUUGUGGAGUUUGCUUUGCAGCAGAAUUGUGCCCUUUAUAGUGUGUUCCAAGUUCCAACUUCGACAUCAACUUCGAUAAAGCUACCAUGAGGUGAUUCAGUGGUUGAGACGAAUUUCAAAUUAUUGCACACAGCACUUUAUGAGUUCAAUUCUUGUUGCUCGCGGAUUACACGAUGAUGGUCAUGGAAAGACUAAAAUGCUUAUGCACGUCUUCCUAACCUUUGAAAAAGUAGACUCUUAUAGCGAAGCCUCCAGCUAGUCGCUUUUCUUAAAAAAAUAAAAUAAAAUAAAAACCAUUAACUUUGAUAGCAUUGUUAAAUCAAUUUCAAAAGGUGUUAUAUUCGUUAUUAUUUAAUUGGUUACUUGCUUUAUUUGAUUUGUUAAUUGCUCGAGGAAAAUUUGUUUUUGCUACAUCUAAUCAAAUAGUUUAAUACUAGAAAUUAUUGCCCGCACGUUGUUGCGGGAUUAAUAAAUGUAAAAAGCAUUAUGUUUGAAAGAUAUAUAAAAUUGUGUCAUAAAAGAUUAAUACAAUUCAUUGCUAUAUUUAAUUGAUACUCCACAUAAAAUUGUAGAAGUUUUGGCUAUCUAUGUACAUAGCAUAUUAGAUCAACACAUUCCACUUGGGUAGUUUUUGUGAUUUUCGAUCAACAGCAGUACUUACAUACAAAAGGUUAUGGAACUUUGGGCUAUUUACAUGCAAAAAACGUUAAGAAAUAUUGUGUCAUUUACAUUGAUAAAAUAUGACAAAAAUUGUUCAAUGGAACACCAAAAGUUCCCUCCAGUACUCAUUGUCAAAAAAGUAGUUUAAACCAAUAUAAGACCAAAAACUCUUCCAAAUUCCAUGUGUAUUCAGUUUCUCUAAAUCAACCAACUUCUCCGUUCCAAACUAUCCAACAAAUAUUUGACAGCAAUACAACCAACCACCAACAAACAUUUUAAACUCAUCGAAAGAUCAAAACCCUUUCAAAUUUGCAUGCGUAUUAGUGAUUUUCAACUAAAUUAUUUGGAGAUGGAGACACACAAAGCUAGCAUAGGAACCAAAGAAGAUCUGCAAAAGCAAGUUAAGAGAUCAUCGUAUUACAGAAACAAAUUACAUAAUAAAAUUAAGAGAGCAUCAUAUUACAAAAGCAUAAUAAUGUUCAUUUCCAAAUGUAUUACAAAAACCUAUGGUUUCAUUCCACUUCACAUAAUUCAGUGUUUUUUUUUUCAACCCACAAAAUUUACGGCUUAGGUCAAAGAAUUUGAUCUGAUUAUUAAUAUUCAGACGGAAAAGAUAAGACUCAAAUGAAAUGGGCAUUUGAAGUCACUUUCUUAUUUCUUAUAACCACAUCAAUAUCAUAUUUAUACAAACAUAGCAAAAAAGAUUAGCAAGUGCAAGCACAUAUCUUGUGAUAGUAUACAAAAAUGACUAAACCCGAAAUUCCUAACACAUACACUAAUCUUAUACAAAGAAAUUAGAAUAUCAAAAUCCUAACAAAACAUGAGGCACAAUGAUCACAAUUAGAAAAAUAUUUCAAAUAAGAGCCAAACCAAAAAUGCACAUAAAGGUCAGUUAUCAACUCAAAUAAAACUCACUCUGAUGCUCAUUUCUAAUUAUGAAUGCUCUCGGGACUCCAAUCUUCUCAUCCCAGUCGAAAAGAACUUCAAAUGAAGACUUCUCUGCAGUUUAAAGGGUGAUUGUUGUAACCCAAUUUUCCAAUUAUGUUGCCCUUCCAACUUUUUUCUUGCAACCAAGUUUCUAAAAAAACAGAUUGAAUUCAAAAGGUAAUUGGACCAAGGCAUAAAAAGACAUAAGAAAAAGUAUAGAAAGUAUAAACCACAUAUAUCACAUUAUCUAUAGGGUUGUGAUUUUCACACACCCUUAAUUACCUUUCCCACACCCCUUCUUAUUUUUUAAUACUUAAUUGAUAUCUUACUAUUUACUCUUCCAUAUAUACCCUUUUUACUUUUUGACCAUUGAAACUUUUGUUAUUUUAUUUUAAACUUGUUUUUUUCUUUUUCUAACACUCAACCAUAUAUGCCAUUUGUAACUCAAGUUCUACUGCCUAAUCUGAGAGAUCCCAAAACAAGUAUAAAACACCUAUUAUAUAAAUAAAAAUAAAACGAUUACCUAAUGAUAUAGCAUAUAUGCAUAAGUUACAUGAAUUGUACAAAAUACUAGUAAGCAAUCCACAUACACUUGAAUCCCCAUAAUAGUAGCCUCAUGCCCCAAAAAAUACAUCAGAUAUCAUUACAAGCUUUCACAUUCUGCCUACACUAUGUUUGGCCUUUAAUCUUGUGUUCAAAAGGAGAUGUCAAUAUUACCAAAAAGAUAUGAAACCCAUGCACUCCAACCUACAAGAAAAUAAAAACAUGUCAACAAAAGGAAAGAAAAUUACAAACUUAAUUAGUAUUUUUAUGGGGAAAAAUCAACAAAAAUAUAUGUACCUUAAUGUGUUCUUUACACAUCUAAGCUAUUAUUAACAAAAAGUUUCUUUGGCAAAUCAUUAUGCUCAUCACACCUAUAAACAAUGAACAUUAAGUUAUACGUAUAUAUAAAUAAUCAUGACCAUAGUAGACAAUAUUAAAAGAUAAAUAAAAAAAUGACAUACCCGUCGAGCACGUUUCUGAGCCUUCUCCACUAUUUCAAACUUUGAAGGACCAUGCUUUGUAGAGCUUGAUUCUUUUCUAUUUUUAGAACCCAUUGGACGACCUUUGUGAGGUUUAACAUUAGGCUCAAGAGUUAAUGGAAGAGAAGUAUCAAUAAAUUCACAAAGUUGCCUUUUGGUAUCCUCUUUUUGAGUAAGAGUCAACUUUUCAUACUUAUCUUUAAACUCCAAUAGAAGGCCGCUUAUUUGAUCUUGUUCAUUGUCCAAGCUUACAUGAUGAUCAUUGACAAACAAUCUUCUAUCAAUCCUCCAUUGUGGAUGUAUGUCAUUUAGUUGCAAGACUUCAAUAUUCAUCUCUCUAAUCAUGUGAGCACAAGGAAGACCCAUUGUCUUGAGAAAAUGACCCUUACAUUGACAUGGAAGAUCAGAAGAACUUGAUGCUUCAUAUUGAUUAUAUAACUCAUUCAAUGCAAAUCUAGAUACAUGAGUAACAACCUCUUUGAAGAAGGGAAGUCGAAACUUGUGUGAAACUCUAACUUUUUCACUUGAAUGUUGAGUUUUGAUUCUUGAAAUUGAUUUUCAAUAGCAAGGCAUAUUUUUUCUUUUACCUCGCGAAGACCUCCAGUUGAAACUUGAAGAUAUUUUUUUAGCGUUGCAUGUGCACCUUCGGCUCUUGAAGUAACACGGUUACCAAAGUGGGUAACUUUCUCUGACCAUGCACUUACAAACUUUUCUUUGUAUGGAAGCCAAGUACCAAGAAUAUAUUUCAAAACAAAUUUCUUCUCCUCGUACUUAACUUCAAAACGACUCCAAGCUUCAUUGAAUGAUGUUUCAUUAGGAGAUUGGAUUAAAAUUGUCCAAGUAGAAAUGAAAUCAAUCCAAUCAACUUCUUCCUCAAAAUGAGCUUUACAAUUUGCAAGUAUAUUUUUCUCAAUAUGCCACACGCACAAAAGAUUGGAAGUACUCGGAAAGACAAUGCGUAUAGCAUUCAUUAAUGCCAACUCCCUAUCUGUUAUAAUCACCAUAAGAUGAUUAUCAACUCCCAAAAUCUUACUAAACAUUUUUAGAGCCCACACAUAAUCCUCUUCUUUCUCAUUUUGCAUGAAAACAAAACAAGAAUAAAAGGAUGUGUUGAAACUUGAAACUCCUAUGAUAUCCAAUAAUGGCAUCUUAUACUUGUUGGUCUUAUAUGUGCAAUCCAUCACAAAAACAUAUGGGUAGCUCUUGGUCAACUCUAUAGACAAGGGAUGAGCAAAGAUCAAAUGAGUUAAGUGGCCUUCAUGAUCAUACUCAAUGUUAUAAGUGAAACCACCUUCACCAAGUUCUUCUAAUAAUGCUUGAAUAACUGGACGCCCAGCUAGACUCUCCUUCACAAUCUUAGCUCUUAGAUUAUAGAUGUUUCGAGAAACUACUUGAAGAUGAGGAUUGCCUUGCCGAAGCAAAGAUAGAAUUUGGCGUGGUGGUAUACCAGCCUUACUCAUUUCUUUAAUUCGUAAGAUUUCCUCUUGUGAAAAUUGACGACAAGAAGGAUGUCCACACAUGUCAUUUGAAAGUUCAUGGUUAUGCAAUAAACUUUUUAUCUCUAGCUUCCAAAAUUCUUCACAUUUCUUUUUACGCCCCUUGAUUUCAAAUGGACAAUUUAUGAGGCGAGAUCCUGAGUUUUUUUUUCUUUCAUCUAGUGAAGUUUUAGAGGCUCGAUAAUACCCACCUCUAUCACAACCAAUAGCAACAUAUGUAUUUGUCUUAGAUCUUCUAAUAACGGUUGCAAACCCUUGCAUUAAUGCUAUCUUACGAACUUCCCCGAUGAGGUCUUCUCGACUUUCAAAACAUUUCGCCAACAAAGAGAGCAUUUUAUCGGGCUCAUCAAUCGUUGGUUGACUUCCUAUAUAUCACAAACCAACACAUUUAUAUAUGUAGAAUAUAUACUUUUUAUCAAUGGACUAGACAUUUAAGUAUCAAAUUUAUACCAAAGCAUUGUAUGCAUUAUAUCAAGUUUACACCAAAACAUGGAGCCUAGGUAAAACCACAACAAUUAAACCUAAUACCAAUUUACCAUUAAGUUAAAGUGUAUUGGGGACCAAUAGAUUCCAAUAGAAAAUUAAUUUCCCCAAAACCAACACAAAUCGAUAUUCUCUAUUAUUUCCGUUUUUAUGAGUACAGAGUUGACACCAGUUUUUGUUUUGGGCAAAAGUACAUUUUUGCUCCAGUUUUUAUAAACCCCAACAGAAACCAAUAGUUAAAGUACAUUUUUGCUCCAGUUUUUAUGAGGAAUAGGUAAUUUUUUGCUUCAUUUGAAGUUCAAGUGUUUGGAUUACAGAGUUGACACCGAGAUUUUGUUUUGGGCAAAAGACACCAAGAAUUUAAGUUAGAGAUUUCAAACAAAAAAAAUAUAUCAAUCAUACUUUUUAUCUCGUCUGUUCAUUUUCAAUCUAACGGUUCUUAUCUAGAUGUGUAAAUAGCAUGUGUACCGUGUACAUGAGAGAAAAAUAUGUUAUAGAGCAUUGCCCGGUGCAUUCAAGUAAGCAUGGUAGUUUUUAAUCUUUUGCUCCUUAGUCUCUGAGCAUUGCCUAAUUUUUUGUUAUUCUUGUAAAAAAAAUUCUGAUGUCAAAAACAUUUACAAACUUAGUUUCGUGAUUUUUUGUUUACUUGACGCAUUUUUCUAAAUUUCUUCCCCUGGAUUUAGUUACUUCAUUGUUACAUGAUACAUUUAUCUUAAACCACCAGUAUUCAUUCAUUCAAUUAUCAUUUGAACCACAAAUUAGGGAAAGAAAAAACUAAACCUAAAAAACAAAUUGAGGCAAGAAGAGAACAAAAACCCUAAAUUCCAAAAUCAAUCUUAAUAAUUUGAGAAAAUACUUUAGAAAAUUACCAUCAAAAGUGUUAAGAGGAGGAAUGCAUUCUGAAAUUUCUUCCAUGCCAUCCUCCUUGCAUGCCAUAUCCAAUAUCUUCUGCAACUCAAUGUCCAUCUGGAGUUCUUUAUCUGUUAUUAUCAAGUCAUCCAUUGUGGUUUUUCACAAGAAGUAAUAAAGAGGACAGGGGAACGGAAAUAUUUCAGAAUAGGUCUCGUUGGGCUCGGCGGAGGGAGUGGGAGGCUUCGAAGAAGCAGUGGAAAUAUUUGCAGCGGCGAGGGAAUCGGGCUGCGAGAGGUGUCUGGGUUUGGGGAAAAAGCAGGAGGUGUCUGGGUUUUGGGGAAGAAGCAGGAGAAAGCAAGGGAAAAAGCAGGGGAGUUUCAAGUAAAUAAAAAAAAAAAACAACUUUUAAAAGUCAAAAAGUAAAAAGGGUAUAUAUGGAAGAGUAAAUAGUAAGAUAUCAAUUAAGUAUUAAAAAAAUAAGAAAUGGUGUGGGAAAGGUAAUUAAGGGUGUGUGAAAAUCACAACCCUAUCUAUAUACUAAAACCCGGUGGAAAAGCACUGUUUACCAGCAGUAAAAUGGCGGAAUUGCCCUCAUUCAACUUUCCUUGCCCCGUUGUUUUUCAGUCUUGGCAUAGUGAAAUUACGCAUUUGUCCAAGUUGGCCACGCGUCCAUCAUCGUCUGAACCUCUACUUCGACUGCAGCUUCUCGAUUUUUCCAUCCGUUUCCAGUUCUCUCUUUCGCAAAUCUCUGCUUCCUUUGCUCUCAACUUGCCUUCUGUCACUCUCAAACGCCGGGUAAGCUAUCGACCACCCCCUCUCUACCUUCUUCUUCUUUCGCUUCUCCCUGUGCAAAUCUGAGAGACGCCUACCACAACUGCUUCACUGGGUUAUCUCAACAUAAAAUUAGUUUUUGUUAUUGCUCUUAAACCCUAAUCUCUCUCUCGCCUCUCUCUAAAAUCCAUCUGAAAAAGGUAUAAUGGGUAGUGUUUAUGUUUGCAGUUUGUACUCGGCAAAGUCUGUGAAGGACCAAUAUCGGAGGUAUAAAUUGGCUGCCCUGAAAUUUUUUUAUUUAAUUAAUUUCAACAGGUAUCUAAGAAUUCUUAGUAUGAAUAGUGUCUGUGUUGUGUCUCUGAGCAUCUUGAUUUUUUAUAUUAAAUGAUCUCUGUAGUGUCUGUAUAUUUCUUAUAUGAUUUCUUUCAUUCAUUGUUUCCUAUAUCCGAAUUUAAAUCUAUUUAAUUUUUUUAAUUGAUCUGGGAUGUUGAGAAAUUGGAGCUCUUCUGGGGUCAGAUCCAUUUUGAUUUGGGGAUCUGAUGCGAAGAAAAUGAAAUAAAAUUUGGGUUUUGGAUUGAUGUGGUAUUUGGUUUUAUUUCCUGUUGUCAGUGCUUACCACCUGUUUGAGAUUAUAUAUAUGUUUUGAAUUUUUUUUGGUUUGUCAUGUAUAAGAAUGUGAAAUAGACUAUCUGAGGUAAUCAAUUGUGAUUGGUGACUUAUUUUUUUCUUUCUAUUUAUUUAUAUUGGGAUUGGUUACUUUUUUGUUUGUUUUUUUUUUUUCCAGAUUAGAGAUUUUAAUAGGUCCUGGUAGUGAUAAAGGCUCAUUUCUCAAAAAAGAGAUAAUAAAUAAAAGUGGCAGAAAUAUAUAUUUAUAUAUACAUAUAGAUGGCUGUGGUAGUAAGUAAUGAAGGUUCAAUGUAAAAGUCAGAGGUCAGAACUGGCAGAAAAAAAAAGUAAAAUAUAUUGGCUAGGACAGAAAAGAAGUGAUAGGUCAUGAUGUGACACUGUUUAUGAACAGUCACCUUCCGUCCUUUUUUUUAUAUCUUUUUCGGAAACUCAGUAGAGCAGAAAAAAAAGAUAAUAAAUGCGAAGUGCAAGGUGGGAGAAAAAAAAAUGUACAUAUACUUAUAUUGGGUAGAGCAGACCACGUGUUGAUCAUCGGUAGUGUUUCUGUUGUUGAGAGGAUUUUACCCUUUUUGUUUCGUUUUCACUCCUCUCUUUGUUCACUUUUUCCAUUCGUUUUUCUGCUUCUAUCUUUUGCCUAUUUUUCUUAAUUUUGUAUUUAGAGAUAGGCCUUUUGUUUGAAUUUGGGUUUAGUUGAUUUUGAAGGUUUCAAGUUGGUUGCCCUUUUUUGUUUUUAAUUUUGUAUUUAAAGUUAGGUUUUUUGUUUGAAUUUGGGUUUAGCUGAUUUUGAAGGUUUAGAGUUAACUAUUUCCUUUGGAUUUUUUAUGGGGGUGAGACUUAUAGAUUAGUAGGGUUUUCUUUUUGUGUUGGGAUUCUAAGUGACUAUGUGGUUUGAUUCUCAUUUUAUUUUUACGUAACGGUGUUUUGUGUUUUUUUUUUUGUUUGUUUUUGUUUGUGUCGUGGUUGUAAUUAUGAGUGUAUGAUUUAGUUGUGUUUUGUAUUUUCAGGAAACGGUGAUGUUCGUUCUCCCAGCUAUUGUGUUCGCAUUUACAUGCUGGUUGUGCUUCAGGUAUGUCCUUUUUCUCUCAUUUAUUUUGAUAUAUAUCUAAUAUCCAUCUAACUGUAUUAUUUUAUUUCUUUUCCCUAGCUUGCUUGCUUAUGGAUGAACGAUGCGGUGCCAAAACUCUAUCUCCAAUAGUGAAACGCAUUAACCGUUUUUUGUUAUUUUGUAUCAAACAAUAUUGAUAAUAUUUGCCUGCCAUGUAAAUGUCUCUUUGGUCUGAACUUCAUAAUAUUUUUUGCAUGUAUACCAGCAUUCAUUAAUUUUUUGUAUAUAAAUGCUGGUUCCACUUGAGAGGUAGAUGCAAGUGGUAGAAUCCAAUCAAUCACUAUAUUGUUUUUUGUCUAUCUGUAAACAGGUUUCAAUCUUUUGUUUUAGGAUUGUACAAGUUUAAUAUUUUAUGUAUAAACAACUUCCAACAUCUUUGUUUACGGUGAUGUAAAUAUUUUGUGAUCUACUUUUUAUAUCUCUUCAACAGAGCGUUGCAUUGAAUUUCCACAAUUACACUCUUUUAGAACUCAGUUUGGAGCAACAUUCGGUAAGCCUUUCUUUUACAGUCAGUUUCAUUUGUUUAUAUUUGAAUCAACAAAUUUUUUACAAAUAAUGAUUCUUCCAACUGCUCAUAAAUUGAUUCUUUUAUUUUUCUUGCAACUUCAAGCGUUGAUCUAUUGGAAACAAACUUUUAUCUAUUCCUUGAGUUACGUAGAGUUGUAAAUAAAUUGAGUUAAGCAAAGUUUCAAAUAUAACUUUCUACAUGUUGUAUGCCUAUUUAAAUACCCGCAGCAUCGCGGGGGUGCCAAUGCUAGUAUUAUACUACUUUGUAUUCCAAAUACACAUAAGAAUAUAUCCAUUCUAGUGAAUGGCCUAAUUCCAAUUAAUCUCACCUUUGCUUUCUCUCAAACCCGUCAACUUAUCUUUGACUUUGUUUUUCAACAUACAUUCAUCGUUAGGUACAACCAUAGAAGUUUCGCACUCCAAAACACUACUCAUAAAAUAAUCACCGACCUUCUGUAUGAAGCGAAGUUGAUUAAGACAUCAGCAGUAGGAUGUGCGGCGCAUGAUGCUUCAAUGCUGUAACAGUUAUCAACCCAAAGGUUAAACAAUCUCGAAACAACAGAUCAAGAAUGGUAAUCUGACUAAUAACAUGAUUUGAAUAUAUUGGAUAUGGAAAAUUAAGAUUAACCAAGCAUACAUGCAUAUACAUAAAUAUACAAAAGGUGGCUUGCAGCCACGAAAGUCGAAAUCUAGGAAGAGGAUGAGAGAAUGGCGACUUACUUUGAGUGCACUGGUAUGGUGAUUUCCUCUUAACUGAAAAAUAGCUUUUGAAAUCCCUCAGAACCGGGGUUAAUGAUUCCAGCAACUGAUGGUGUCUCCCUCCCUAUUACAAACCUCAGUUAUUACAUUUACAUCUUUGUCAAAAACUAAAAACUAUAAGUAAGAUUAAGUUCGAAGUCAAAAUUAGGAAAUGAUGCAUACCACAAAGGAAGUCAAAAUCGAGUUAGAAGCACCUGAUAUAUCUUGCCAGUGGUAAUGUUGUUACCCCUAGUAAGAGUCACAUCUAGGAAGCGUUCAUAGUUGCCCAGGUCCAAAUCAACCUACAAUUACGGUUAGAGUUUAACAAACUCAGCAGCACAUAAAGUUUAAAGAUAAGACUAACACUCAACAUGAUACCAAGAUAGAAUCCAAAAAUAAAUGAAAGAUAUGAUUAAAAUUAUUUGUUCUAAUCGAACAUAUUUUCUAGUUUUCUUAUCCGAUUAUACAAUUGCAAUUCCAAAAAUAAAAAAUAAUUUGCAGAAAGAAAAUUAGAAAAUUCAAACUUGAUAACAGUCUACCUUAAGAAACCCCAUGACCGAGUCCGAAUUGUACACCCGUGCCCUGCAAUGUCUUGGUGAGUGACUCCUGCUACAAAUUGGCACGAUGCUCAUUGUCUUGUAAAUCUGCAAGCAAAAUAUACAUAUUGUUAGGAAAAAAGUGUCUAUAUAUCAAAAUGUAUAGUAUGUAAGUUUUUAAUUGCAGAUGUAUGCAAGCUACAACCUGUUGUUAAAUUUUGCAGAACAUCUUUGUAAACUAUAUUUUUUGUAAAUGUAUUUGGCAUUUCAUUGUUGUUAGUAAUUAAAACUUUGAGACCCUCUCUUGAUAUGACUCUAGAUAAUGCAACAUAUAAUUGACCAUGAGUGAAGAUAGGUUGUGGUAAAUAGAGUCCCACUUGUUUCAAUGAUUGUCCCUGACUUUUGUUAAUUGUCAUUGCAUAACAUGGUCUUAUUGGAAAUUGACGUCUUUUAAGUACAAAAGGCCAUUUGUUUUCAGUUGCUGUCAAGAUUAUUUAAGGAAUGAAAACUUUGUAAUUAAUGUUGCUGCCAGCAAGUAUUCUAGCUUCAAUAAUUCUAUCAAAUAAUUGAGUCACAACCAAUCUUGUUCCAUUACACAAACCUAAAGAUUGGUUUAAGUUUCGGAGCAACAUAAUAGGCAUUCCAAUCUUUAAAAUUAAGUUGUGCGAAGGCAAGCCAUUGAAAUCAAGUGUGUUGAGAAAUUCUGUAGGAUACAUUAUACUAAGAUUCUCAAAAUUUCCAGUAGAUGAGUAUAAAGAAUCAGAGCUUAAAUAAACGUGUUUUUGACCAAGUAACAAAUCUAUUGCAUAAUCAUUUAUCUCCACUACAAUAUCAUUUUUUGGUGUAACAAUAGCUCGCUCUCGUAAAUAUUCAAAACUGGCAAAAUUAUUUUCAAAGUCUGGAUAAGUUGCUGAAAAAAUAGAAUGAAUAGGAUCAGAGUAUGAAUGAAUGAGUAAAUCAUCUGGAAUUUCAAUCCAACAUGUAUCUUUAUCAUUUGAAUCAAGUGUAUCUCCAAUUUGGCCAUCACCUAUCUGUAAAAUCCAAGAUGCAAAAUUAGCAAGUUUUUUCUUUUGAUCAUUAUUUAAUCCCUUUUGUGAAAGCCUCAUAUUUUCCUUCAACUGAAAUACUUUGAAAAAAGGCCAUAAAUAAGAGUUAUUUAAAGAGGCAUCUAUUAUCUGUUCUUUUGUUCCACCAGGAAUAACUGGUAAAAUUUGUCUAAAGUCACCGCCUAAUAAAAAAGGUUUGCCACCAAAUGGAGCAUUUUUAUUUGAAUCAUUUGAAUGUGAAAAAAUAUCAGAAAGUGACUUGUCUAAUGCUUCAAAACAAUGCUUAUGAUUCAUAGGAGCUUCAUCCCAAAUAAUAAGAUCUGUUUUUUCAAUUAAUUUAGCAAGAUGAGUCCCUUUCUUAAUUUGACAUGUUGAGCAAUUUGUAACUAUGAGAGGAAUUUUGAAUCUGGAGUGAGCAGUUCUACCACCUAGUAAAAGUAAUGAAGCUAUUCCAGAUGAAGCAACUGCUAAAACAAUUUUACCCUCAGACCUGAUUUUACUUAUUAUUGUAUGCCAUAAAAAUGUUUUUCCAGUUCCUCCAUGGCCAUAAACAAAAAAGAGACCUGACCUUUUUUCAUUCACAAUACUAAUAACACAAUCAUAGACAAAUUUUUGGGUUUCAUUAAGCUGUGUUACCAAAACAGAAUGUUCUCGACUUAAAUCAUCACAAUUGUAAUUUAAUUCUUCCCUCAACAAUUUGUUUCUAAUUUCUGACAUUUUUCUUUCAUCAGGCAUAGGCAAAUUAUGAUCUUUUAAAGAGCUAGAUGAUGCAUUAAAUAGUUGCUCUAAUUCAAAUAGAAGAGAGUUUUUUAAUUCCAAUUCUGAUAAAUUCAGAGUUGACAUUGCAAAAGAUUUUCGAAGCUCAUACAAAAUGUCAUCACACAUAUAUUGCCAAUGACUAUUAAAAAGCUGUUGAGGAUUUGCUAUUUCACAAAAUAAAAUCAUUGUAACAAAUAAUUGUCUCAACUCGCGAGAUGUUGCAAUAUUAACUGCAUUUCCUAAAGCUUCAAUCCACUCUUUGUCAUCCCCUAGUAAACUCAAACAUUUACAUGCAGCUUGAUACGAUGGUUGAAUAAUGCCGUUCACAGUUCUAAUGUCAUCAAAAUUGAGAACACCUUUUUUAAUAUUAAGAAGCAUUCUUAAAUAGUAUAACUCACCUGAUGCAGGAUGCACGUAGGCAAUUCUGCCUAUGGAUCCUCCUUUUCUUUUCAUAGGCUUCCAAAUCUUAUGUCGAGAUUCCCAAACAAACUUUGAUGGCAAUUCUGCAUAAGUUAGUGUUCGCGCUUCAAGAAAAAAUUUAUUUAUUUCAAACCAACUUGUCAACAUUGUGUGUUCAGAAGCUUCUUGACUAACAAUUGAUUCAAGGGAUUGAUUACUAUUGAAAACAAUAGUUUGUUCCAAAGGAAGAUGUACUGGCAAUCAUUCAACAUGAGGUUCUCUCAUAUGAAUUGGAUACUCAAACAAUCUCCAAACAGCUUCGUAUGGAGAUAUAUAUCUACAAUUUAGAUAAGCACGUAUUUCAUUGUUUGAAUUCUCUUCAAAAACAAUUCUUGCUCGAUCUGAACCUUUGUUUAUGUAUUUGAAAAGAUAUUUUAUAAGUAUUGAUUGGCAACAUGACUCAACAUUUAUAUGAGCAUUGUAUCUCAAUAAUAAAUUUGAAUUGUAAGGUACAACAAAACCAUUAUCUAUUUGCAUCCCAUUUUUAACCAUAAAUUUUGACUAAUCAUCACGACGCCUAUACAUAGGAAAAAUAUUUGUUUCAAAAAUUGUUUCACUUUUGUAUUGCUUUGGGAAAAACUUAGAACAUUUUCCCUCUCGCAUGCAUGGAGACUUUUGAUUAAGUUGUCCGCAAGGACCAUGAAUCAUGAAUUGGUUCACAAUUUCAUAAAGGAGAGGAUCUGAAUUUUUAUUUGGUAUUUCAGUUGAAAUGAUGGAAUCUAUGUCAUCAGCAGAGUAGCAUUUGUAAGGCUUCUUUAACCAAAUUAAGAUGUGAGCGUGAGGCAACCCUCUUUCUGAAACUCGAUUGUACAAACAUCUGUUUGCAAUCAAGUUAGGAAAUAUAUAAAUCAUAGUCAGUUUCAUUGUAAAGAUAAAAUGAAAGAAACUGAGAAAAAAAAAAAAUUUAAACUCACCUGCUUCAACUUCUCCAAAAGGUUCUCCUGAUUUUAUGUAGCUAAUCAUAUCAUCAAGUUUCAUCUUAAAAACCCUAGAAAUGAUAUACGGUCUAUCCUCUAACUUGUAUCCAAGUUUUAUAUCAAAUUCUCUCACAAUUUCAGGCCAUUUGAUAUUGCAAGUGAAGGUUAUGAACAAAUCAGGAUUACCAAAUUGUCUACAAAUAGCCAUCGCAUCUUGAUAGUUGUUAAGCAUAUAUCUAAGGCUUCCUGUGUAUGAGCUAGGUAAUAUUACUUUCUUGCCUAUGUUAUCAGCAUCAUGAUCAUCUUUUGAUACAGCGUCAUAAAUGCCUUUAUACACCUCACUUCGUAAGCUUUUUUGGUUUUUUCUAAUAUAAUCCAAUCGAUCCUCUUCAAGUGUUGCAUAAGCAUCUACCAAAAAUUGUUGAAAAAGUCUUCCUCCUUUUAACAAUGUAUCUAAUUGAGACUCCCUUUCUUGAAUUUGAUAGGCUAUAAAUGCUCUCAUAGUUACUCUGCCUCUUUUACAUGGGCGAUUGUUUGAGGGGAUAUUCAAUUUCAAAUCAAGUCUGUAUCCAUCUUCACCAUAUGGAAAAAGAAUGGGAUAUUGUAAAGACAUAAAUUUUGGAUUUAAUUUUGUCACACGUUUUAGUUCACCAUCUUUAAACUCUAUGACAAUAUCUCUAUUUGAGUCAAAUUGACCAAUAUCACCCACUAUUAAACUAGCGAUUUCAUCACAUGUAGGCUGUCCAUAUUGUUUAUCAUCAUUUAACUGCCUACCCAAUAUAGUUAUUUUCAAAGAAGGGAGAGAAUUGUUUUCAAAUUUAUCUCUAAUUGUUCGAAACACUUGAACCAAUUCAUUUGAUUCAUUGAACAUGUUGAUCAGACCCUUGACAAUAUUCUCAUCAAGCUUCAUAUUUGUUUCCUUACAAUUAAUAGCAUUGAAACGAUUUCCAAUUUCAUUAGCAGUAUCAUACACAUAUAGUUGAGCAAACUUUGGGCAUUCACCAUCAGGGGGUAACAAAGAGCCCAUUAAAUGAUGCACUUGACCACUAAUUUUAAAAAUGUACGGGCCUAACUGAUUGUUAACCGUGUGAUCAACUUUAGCUCCCAUUGAAGUAAAUGCAAACAUUGAAUUAUAAGCUCUAAUGUUCUCUCUAAACAAUAAGCUUGUUUGGCCUUUCGUUGGGUCAAGCAAAUUUUCUAAAAAGUGAGGAGUAAGCAUUGGACGUGGGAGCUUGACUUUUCCUUGUUGGCAACAAAGAGAAUAAAGGGGCUCAUUAUUCUUGGACUUCUGCUUUAAAGACUCUUUUAUCCAAAAAAGUGCACCACAAUAGAUGCACUUAUACUUUUUGUCUCCCAAAUCCACAUAUUUCUGAACAUUUCCUAUUGAAAAAAGGUGAAAAAAGAAGGGGAAAAAAAGUCAACCUAUUAGAAGCAAAGUCAUAAAUACAUAACCAACCCAAAGAAAUUGUACGUUAAAAAGAUAGUUUACCUUUUUUAUUUUUCUGAAAAUUGGCUUGACCUUUACUAAUUUGAUUCGGAUUAUCAAAUGUAUCGACAUUGACAGUGGUUUGAACUGUGUUUGUACUUGUUGAACACACAUUGUCAACAUUUUUUUGUCUUUCGUUUUCAGAUUCAAAGCCUGGUUUAUCACAAACUUGUAUGCCACUGGAAGAACCAACAAUAUGGUCGUCUUUUCGUCUUUUGUUCUGAGGUUCAAAGCCUGGAUUAUCACAAACUUGUAUACCACUGGAAGAACCAACGAUAUGGCCUUCUCGUAGCAUUCUAUUCAGUUUGGUAUUUCUAGACCUUGUUAACAUGGCUUGAAAAAAGUUUAAACUCCAAACAACAGAUAAUGGGCUGAGAACCCUAGGAAAAGAAGUCAAUUAUUAAAUACUUGACAAUAUGUAAUCUACAAUCAACCAAAACAAACACAUAAAAGUUACAUUUCGAAACUAUUAUGCAAAAACCAACCCUAAUAAUGAUUCAGAAAACCUUAGUUGAUUAUCUUUUAUGAUUGAAACUACACUACAAAAUGUUAAAUCCUUAUGUAGACAUGCAAUCCAAAACAAAGACAAAUUUGAAAGAUUUGAGCCUUACCUAACCACGGAUGAAACAAAGGCGUAGAAAUAAGAUAUGCAAUUGGAUUUCAACCGUAGCAGCUACUGCUUUCUGAAUUCAAAGCUGGGAAUUGAAGAAAAUAGAAUACAUUUAAAGUCAUGCAAUUCAAAUUGCAAACAAAGAGCUAAAUUCUCAAACAUGCAAUCCAAUCAAUAAGAUUGUCCUCACAGAUUAUUAUAAUUUAAUUACCAAAAGAUUAUGGUAAAGUUGUAAAUAAAUAGAUUGCAACAUAUUUAGAAAACACUUGAAGAGAAACAAUUUUAAACAUUAGCUUUUAUCAAAUCGAUCUUUGAUUGAUAUCUUAUGAUCUAACUGGAAAAAAAAGGUUUAACAGAACAUGAGGCCUACAAUAGUGAACUUUCAUGCUCCUUUAAAACAAUGCAAAAAGAUCUCUCCCUAUAUUUAGAAAAUAAUUUAGGACUUUUGUGCUCAAAUUAAUAACAAAAUUUAUUAAUAUAGGUAUUAAGGAUUAAUUAACCUUGGCUAUCAAAAAAAGAAAAACCCAAAACUAAAAUCAUAUAUGGGUUGAGAAUCCUUAAUUUAUUAAGAUCAGAGACCCAUUAAUACAGCUAUGUCUCAUUAGAAACUAAGAGAGACAGACAGAGGGGGAACUCUGACUAUUGUCACUUCGGCCAACAUGCAAGAUUUAUUAGAAUUAGAGAUCCAUUAGUACAACUAUGUCUUAGUCCAAUACUAUUUUUUUUUAUUUGGCAUUAAUAGAGAAGACUGAAAACUUCAAAUUAAAAAGAUUAGACAAAUAAAUUUGAAAAGGAUAAAGAUUUUAGAGAGAAAGUGAGGAGAAAGAGAAAUAGGGGGAGACCUUGGGUGAACAGGUGAUUGCCGAUUUCAUUGGGGGAGUACCUUAAUGCAGUUUUUCACAAUUUUUCUGCAAGCCCUGUAUCAACAAUUAAACGGAUAAACACAACAUGACUGAAGGACAAAAAUCGGAACAAAAAACAACCUAAUUUCGAGACAAACCUGAGUGGCAAGCAAAAGCGCCAGUUUUUUUUUUUUUUUUUUUUUUUUUUUUUUUUUUGGUAAUGGCCAAGCUACUGAUAUAUGAGGGUGUGGCACCUGUGAGAAACGAUAAGAAUCCAAUUUUUAGAGAAGUAUAUGAAAUGUUACGCUCUACACCACACAAUUGCACAAUGCACACAUGCAUUUGUUAAACAACAUAUCGUAAUUGUAAAGAUUUUUGUCAUGUUUUUCAGAUCAACUAAAAAUGUCAAUAAAAUACAUGGAGGGGGGUGUGGAUAAACCAAACAACAAAUAAAAAAAAAAAAAAUGAGGAUGUUUGAUGAGAUUUGAAGUCAAUUAGUUAUAUGGCAGGCCUAGAUUUCCGUCAGUUGCUCAGGUAGUGGAAAAUAACAUGCGAACUAAUUCAAUAAUUUCAUGUUUGACACUUUGUCGGUGCCCAAGCGAAGAACUAAUGAGAGAAUCAAAGUAGAGAGAGACUAUGUGUACCUGAAUUGAGUUCAGAGGCAAAAUCCUUGACCCAACCUCGGGUAUCUGAAUCUUAAUGUUGAAGAACCCUUCGGCGCACACGGUUCCUUCUGUGCCUUUAAUCUCUGCAUCAAAGCAAAGCAAAGCAAAAAACAAAAAAAAAAUUUCUUAUUAAAUUAUUAUUUUUUCUCGGAAACCAAACGAUGGGUUAGAAAAAUCUGGAAAGAGGUCAAAUUGGGAAGCUUUGCCCGCGUCGAUGGUGAUGAGGAUGAACCCAAAAAAUUAGCAAAAUUUUUUCUAACCCACAAAAUCAAGUUUUUUUCUGAAGUCUAAUUAUAUCAAAUCACAUAUUUGAACAGAUUUGGACAUAUAAUAGGUGUAGAAAGUACCUGUGGUGAUGAGGAAUAGAUGAUGAUGAUGUGGGUUUUUUCAAUUGGAAAGAUUUGGAGCAAAAUUGCUGCUGAAAUUUAGGGAAGAGAGAUCUAGAAGGUUUUCAAUUCGAAUAGAAGUCGAUCAGAAAAGACGAAAUCACGGAGAAAGCAGAGAUGGAAGAGAUCACGAAGCAAAUAUCGAAGAACACGAAGCAGAGAUCGAAGAGGGCGAUGGAAAAUGGAGGAGUUUGGAAGAGGAGACAAAAAACUAAAGCAAAGUAAAAGCAGAGAAAAAAGAGAUGGGUAAAGUGACACGCGUCCCAAUCAACACGUGUCACUAUGCUAAGCUGCCAGGUGACAAAAUCAAAAGAAAGAAGUCUCCCGAACAAUCCAGUUUUUCUGCUCCUUCAAUUUCAGGCGCAACCGAAAUAAAAGAAUCCUGUUGCACGGCAGGGACGAAAAUGCCAUUCUACUGUAGAAUGAACAGUGAUGACAGAAACAAAGAAAGAGCAAAAAAGAAUACAAAAGGAAUGUUCAGGAGAGAAUCCUGAUUCUAACCGGUAAUCCUAGAAGCUCAAGUUCUCAGGCCAUUACCAAUUCAAUUUCGCCACGGCAUCAUAUUCGUCCGCAUAUUCCAAAGCGCUACACCUAUAUAUAUUUCUAACUCGCUCUCUCUCUCACACUACCUUCCCUCGAUCAGCUUUCUUAUCUGCCUCUCUCUCUAGACAAUACUUUCUCUCUCUACAACCAUCAUGGGUAUUGAUCUAUUGAUCUCGAUUCUCAAUUAUUGAUUUCGAUUUCGCCAUUUUUGUUGCAGAUCUUGUGUUUUUUUUUUUUGUUGUUGAUUUUUCUGUAAUUUUUUUGUGUUUUUCUGACCGUUUGUGUGUUGUGCUUGUUUGUAUCGAUCAGCAACAUCUGGCAAGAAGAACAAGAUCGGAAUCAACGGUGAUGAUCAGAUCCAUCGCUCCUUGAGUUUUAAUUUUUGGUAUGUUCUUUUGUGAUUUGAUCUGUGAAUUGAUUGAGAUUUGAAUUGAAAUGGUUUAGGAUUACUUGUGGCUGCCAACGAUCCCUUUGAACUUGUGGCUGCCAACGAUCCCUUUGAACUUGUGGCUGCCAACGAUCCCUUCAUCACCACCGAUCCCAUGGUGAGUUAUUUACUUGAAGUUUUUGUGUUAUUUUGUCGGGUUUUCAGAUUUAGGGUUUUUGGUUUCGGAUUUGAUUGGUGAUUUGUGUGAUUGUUUUUGUGUUUAGACCUACAUGUCCAAGUACGACACAGCCCAGCGUCCAUGGAUGCAACAUGAGUUCAAGGUCAACUACUCCAAGACCCUUGUCUUCCCUGAGAAGCCCGUCAAGACCUCCUCCGCGCACCAUGAGCUCAAGGUCAACUACUCCAAGACCCUUGUCUUCCGUGAGAUGCCCGUCAAGACCUCCUCUGCGCCCAUCAAGACCUCGUCCAAGACCAAGGCAAAUGAGACAAAGAGAAGUGGGCCUCUGCGCACCCAAGACAAGAAGAAUUCCCGUGUUUACAAGACCAAGGCAAAUGAGAUAAAGAAGUGAGCCCCCUCGCACCCAAGACAAGAAGAAUUCCCGUGUUUACAAAUUUCCAAAGUGUUGAGUGUCUCUAGGCUUGCUUUUCAAGUGUUAUGGUUUGGAGUUCAGAAUAAGAAGUGUUAUCUUGUUUCCUGUUGGAGUUUUCUAAUUUUUAUGCAAGUUUGAAUAUAAAGGCAAAAUUGAUGGGGUUGUCGUAUGGAAUGUGUUUCUCUUAUUUUGCUUCUACCCUCGAUUCCUUGUUUGUUAUUUUGCUUUCUAUUAUUCUCUUUGGUUAGCUUAAGCAUUGUGAUGUUUGCCAACCCGAAGACAAUUAACAGUGUUUGAUUUCAAGCCCGAUUCUCUUCGGGUAGGCAAAACAUAUAUUGUAGAGAAGCGGCAAGUUUAUUAUGCUGAGUUUAAUAGAUCAUUGCAGCUAUGCCAGCUGAGGUGGUUUAUUCCUUAUCAACUGCAGUCUACACUGUCG